CUUCAGCUGAAGGGAACUCAGUUGGAAUACAGUCAGCCUGAGCCGAGGCCCAGACGCAGUGCUUCCAGCUGUAAUGGCACAGUCUGUCAACUCAACUCUGUUUUGAAUGGAACUGGGCACUUACCGAUGGCCAAAACCAGCAGUUGACUAAAAUAAUUAAGCUAUGUGCAGACAGUGAUGGAGGUGGAGAAAGAUCAAGCCGGACAAGCCCUUUGGAAAUUAUUUGCCUUUGUUUUACAGGUGAGCACACCAAGGCCUGCAGGUCACAUUGUGACUUGGUGAUAAUGAUGAGACUUAAGUUUAAGUUCCCUGGCUCUCACUCCAAUGUCAUUUUCAUCACAGGCACCUUUGCCUCCUCUGGAGUUUGAGUGCUGUAUAUGUCCUUCACUCUCCUUCUGAUGAGACAGUGGCCCUCUGCACCCAGAAUCGGCAGAGUGGACACUUGGAGAAUUUUUAUGUCCAGUGAUGGCAACAAACUGUGUUGGUCUCAGUGGACAUUGGAUAAAGAAUCCAAAGCCUGGGUCUGAGGACUGUCUCUGUACUUAUUUACUGGGUAACACUUUUUUUUUUCUAUCUCUUCUCUCAACUGUAAAACAUGAAGUGUAGCCAAGAGAAAGUGUGCUAUUGGGCUCUGAAAACUAAAACCAUGCAUGUAGAUUUCAUGACCGUUAUUUUCUAUCUCUUUCCCAGAUGCCAGCUUGUCAUUUGUAAGGAUUGAAUUCUGAUUUAGCGUCCUGGUCUCUGAACAGGGGAUGUGGGGAAGCUGGCUGUCCCUAAAUGAAGCCACUGGGGAACCCAGGCAUGGUCAGAGUACAGGGGCUUACCAUCAUCAGUGCUUCCCUCACCCCAUCCCACUGUCAUACCCCAGGGGACAGCCUCCCAGCCUUCUCAUCAGUCCCCAAGCACUCCUUGCCCACGAGAUUGUCCUCCAGUUUGCAAAGGUCUUCUCUCAUUUGGGGAUCUCUUCCUGUCCUUUAAUAUGGCAGCAUCAUUGCCUCAUUAAGACCCUUCCCAGCUCCCCCAGACAGCUCAGUCACAGUCUCCUCGGCUUGGUGGUAAUGACAGUGAUCACUAGAGCCAGCCUCUUUGGUGUAAAUCCCAGCUCUGCCACUUAUGGGUAUUUGUCUUGGGCAGAGCACAGGGCCUCUCCGUGCCUCAGGAUCCACAGUGAUAAAAGGGAGAUAAUAAAAGAAUUGAUACCAUAGGAUUAUUCUGAGAAGUGAGUUAGCAUGAGUUAAAGAAUUUAGAGCAAUGUCUGAUUCAUAAGUGCUACCUAAAUAUUUGGUUGUUAAUAUUACAAAUAUUAAUAUAUGUUAGUACUUGAUAUAUAGUACUAAAAUAAUACUAUAAUAUUAUAGUAUUAUAAUAUAUAGUAUGCAGGGAAACAAUAUAUAGUGUGCAGUAUAAUGGAUUAUAUAUCUGUCUCCCUUACUCAGACUGUAAGAGCUGUAGUGGAAUCCCAUUUUCUCAGUGCUUAACAUCAUGUCAGGAUCAUAUUAAAUGCUCCAUAAGUGCUUGUUGAAUAAAUGACUGGAAUAAUCUACACAGUCACUUCUGUGACAUCAUUCAUGCCAUUCCCCCUCCCCACCUGUAAUCUUCACAGGACAAGCAGCUUAUUCACACUACCUCUCUGGUCUUCAUGUGAAUUGUCUUGUGGUUUUAAAAACACUAAGGUCUUGUUUUUGUUUUAAUAGCAAAGUUGUCCUGGGAUUUUAACCAGCAGAAGUACUAUAUGAAAACAAGUGCUAUUCAAUUGAUAAUAAAUAUUUCCUCUUGGAGUCCUAAUCACACUGUCCUAGACAUGGCUUCAAGAACAGAGUCCAAUCUGGGUUCUAUCUGAAGAGUAAUUUUAAAAAAUAAUUUCCUCAUCUCCCAUGAGUUUUGGGGGGGGACAUAUGUGGGACAUAUGCUCCUUGGGUUUAUAUGGUGUGACAAACUACAUGAUUUAGAAAAGUAAGUAGAGCCCUCCAAGAAAGAAACAGACAAGCUAAGGAUAGGCAUCAUGAGGGGAAGGUCAAAGUUAGGUUGGGGUUGUGAUUUCCUGGAAGAAGUAAGUUUUAGGGCACUAGUUGGACUCAUGGCCCUUGACCUCAUUCCUGUGCAUUACAUCCUGAAACUUAUACCCAAGAGACUGUGUCUGCCAAUUUUGGUUCAGGGUAAAAGUACCAUGAAGGUAAACUAUUUUCCUAUUGUAUUCUUAAUUUCCUAUUUCCAAUCAUAUUCUGAUAUACAACAAAAUACAAUCCCUCCAAGAGAUUAUAGGGCUAAAACUUGAAAAUAUCAUCUCGUACUGAUGGUUACUGGUACAAGCCAUAGUCUAAUAAAUGAUACUAAUUGGCAACAUUUAGAUAUCAAAUAAGGCAAUGAUAUAAAUAUAGGUAUUUGUGAAUUGUAUGUGUAUGUGUGAUUAUAUUAGUAACUUAAAUCAUUUAAAUUAGGGAUGGAUAACCAGGAAUAUCAACUUUUCCACUUCAACAUUUUCAUAAUAUGAUUUUCAGGUGAAAAGAUGCACAAUAGGAUCAUCAGAUGGGCUGAGUAAGGGAUAUGGGGAAUUGUCUGCCAAGAUGGCUACAAACAAUCUCCCCCGUCCCUGGAUGUGUACUGUUAUGGUUUGGAUCUGAAAUGUCCCCCCCAAAAUUCAUGUGUUGAGGCUUUGUCCUCAGGCAGUGCUCAGAGGUAGGCCCUUGGAAGGCGACUGGCUCACGAAGGCCCUAACCUCAUCAAUGGAUUCCCCAUGUACUUGAUGGAGGAAGUGGGUCUUUGGGGGUAUUCCCUGGGAGCUUUAUCUUUGUCCCCAGCCCCUUCCUCUUUCUCUCUGCUUCCCAGCCAGCAGGAGAUGAUGAACUUUCUUCCACCAUGUCCUUCUGCCCUGAUAUUCGGCCUCACCACAGGCCCAGAAACGGUGGAGCCCAGCGGCCCUAGAGCGAAACCUCUAAAACUAUGAGCCAAAGCAAAGCUCUUCUUCUUUAAGUUGAUUUUUUCAGGUAUUUUCUCACAACAAUAAGCUGAUACACACAUGUGUGUUGGGCCUUCCAUCCAGAAGUGGAAUCUAUUUCUCCUCCUCUCAAGCCUGGCUGGCCUUGUGACUUGCUUUGGAGAAGGGAACUUUGAUUCUCAGAGACCCGUAAGUGGUCUAACAGCUCCCACUUUCUCUCAGAGCCUUGGGGCAUCAAGUAAGGAAGUUUGACUCACUUGCUGCAUAUUCCCAACCCUCUCACCUGCCAUUCCAGCUUCCCCCCAACCCAGGCGACAGACAUGGGUGUGAAGUCAUCUUGGAUCCUUCAGAGUUGAUCACAAAAAAUCCCUGCCUUAACACUACUUGGAAAGAGAUGAGCUGUUUUUCAAAAAUUCCUGUCCAAAUUACACCAUCAUGAGUUAAUGGUGAUUGUUUUGAGCGACUAUGAUUUAGAAUGUUUAGUUAUACAGCAAUACACACCCGAAACAAAGAAUAGUAACCUUUCUGUAUCAGUGUCUGAGAUGUCUCCCGUAUGAUCUUCUUUUUGGAUUAGGACAGGUCAGGGAAGAUGUCCAGUGCCUGUCUCUCCCCAUUGCUCAUGGUGACACUGCUGAUUGAUCUCAGCUCUCUUUCCCAUUCAGCCCAGAGAUUGCUUUAACGUCACCAUGGUGCUUAGCCAGCCACCGCUAAACCAUUGAUGUAGGUCUCUGCUGUUCUAGGAUCAGCCAUCAUGCUUCCGGGGUGCCUGUCAGUGGAAGGAAUAGGAGAUGGUACAUGUACCCUAGUAAUCUAUCAGCACCCCCCUAAAUCAUGGAAAUGUACAAGAUGAUAGAACUAUAAAGGUCAUCAUCACCAGUGGUUCUGAACUCCAGCUGCAGAUCAAAAUUAUCUGGACUGAAUUUAUCUGAAUGAUAAAUUAUCUUGGACACAUCUCUGGGCCUUACCCCCAGAGAUUCAGAUUCAACUGGGCUUCAAUAUUUAAACACAUACAUAUUCCUUAGAAGUGAAGACAUUCAUAAACUGGGGCUUGAAGGUAUGGGUCACCAUCAGCUGAGCCCUGCUGGAGAGGCCAGUUUGGUUGAAGAACUGUGUAUGGGGUUCUAGGGAUUUCAGGGACAGCCCGUCCAAGGACUUUGAGAACCAGAAGGGAGAGGGGUUCCUAACAUGCAAGAGAGGAAUCAAGUAAGGAAAAAGGAGAGCCUGGGACCAGGAGAGCCAGCCUCUUGGUCAGGAGAAGCUGGCCGCUGGUCUGAGAGGGCACUCUCUAGAGUCUGACUCCAGAUGUAAGUGGAAGGUAUGCUCCAUGUUUUGGGGGUUUUCCUGUGAGAAUUUCUUAAACCUCAGACCUGACUGUCAAAAAGAACUGAGACAAGGUUCGAAGCACAAGAGAUGUGUUUGACACAAUAGGGUCAGGAAAGUUCAAGGCUCCUUCCCUCUCGGCAAGCUUGGCAGGAACGCUAAAACACAACGAGGGACUGGAGACCUUAUGACAGUAAAAUUUUAAGGCAUCAUUUUUGGGUAAAAUAUGACUUUCUGUCAGGUAUAUGAGUUGGUAGCUUUGAUGCAAAUAUAUAAUAAAUCUCACCUCUUUACUGAAAUCCGAAGAGAUUUUCUGCAUAUAAAUAAAACCAUGACUGCGAUAAGAUUGCUUUUGAUCACUUCACAUGAAAGGUGUUAGGAAUUUUCAAACUGUUACCAUAAUUAAAGUACUGUGGGAUGAAAAAAAGAACCACUUUACUUGAAUAUCUCUUCUCCUGCCCCCGUUUAAAAAGACAUUUCUGGAGAAAAGCAUGCUCACCCACUUUGGUAUUGUUUUGACCUUCACUUUGUAGUUUGAAAAAAAAAGUUACAGCUUUUAGUGACGACAAGAAAGUUGUUUUGCAGUUGAAAACUACACACCAAGAAUGACACUGGUCUUUGAGAAGACAAACCAAGUUUCCUCUCUCAAACUUGAUAUUGGGAUUGAACCCAGGGGUGCUGUACCCUGAGCUACUCCCUCAUCUCUCUCUCUCUUUUUUAAAAACAGGGUCUUGCUAGGUUGCCUGGUUGAACUUGUAGUCCUCCUGCCUCAGCCUCUCAAGUUGCUGGAAUUAUAGGGUGUGAACCUCAGUGCCAGCUCAGAAAUGGAUGACUUCCAAAGAGCUCAGUCUUCUUGGUAAAGCAGUUGCUUGAAGGUCUUCCUUCCCUCUUUUCCUGGGACUAUUUCUUGGUCUCCUGUUUGUAGGAUCACAGUGAGGAGUCAUUUUUGCCUAAGUUGUUCUAUUGGUCUUUUUAAAAUUACUUUUGCAUAUGCUUUUUAUAUUAAUCACAGUUUAUGUUCUACUAUCAUAAGCUAAAAAUAGUAGAGGUAUCAUACUCAAGUGCGCAUUCCUGUCUCCUCACACCCACUCUGGAGCAUCACUGAGGCUGCUGCAUUCAUUGCCAGGGCUCCAACCCACCAGCUCUCAUUCAUCUUGGACUGUCUCAUUAAAUAGUCCAUAUGCUGCUGCUCCAACUCAAAGUCACUAAGGGCUUCCUGUUGAGUACAGAAUAAAUAAACCCUUUAAGCUGGUGUUCAAGACUCUAUAGAAUCUGGUCCAACUUUGUUUCUCAAACCUACCAAACUUGAAACCUCAGAUCCAGCCCUACUGAUUCAUUCCCUGCCUUUCAUGCCUUCAUGGCUCUGUUUCUAGAUUCCCUUUUGUGAUCUAUUGAGCUGUGUUUUAGCCCAUUUCUGGAAUUUGACUGUCAUCCUGGCAGAGAUGUCCUCCUCCCUCUGGUAGGACUCCUGCAAGGCCCAGCUUACUACCACUUCCUCUGAAAAUCAUUUCCUAGUUACUCCAUCCAUUUCCCUGAGCUUUAAUGGAAAUUAUUGAUACUUAGCCUAUUCUGACUUAUAAUUUCAUUUCUAUUUAAUGUAUGUGUUUUAUUUUUCUUUCUAGAUGGUAAUAUUUUAUUCAUUUGUUCAACUAAUUUUAUUGUGGCUGGGGAUAUGGCUUAGUGUAAGUGCUCCUGGGUUUAAUCCCUAGUACCUGUCCCCCGAAAAAAAAUCUCACUAUUAUUUAAUAUAGAGUAAAUGAGCACUGAGCAUGACCUUUUUUAUUAUGCUUAGUACCAACAUGUAAUUUGUCUUCAUGAACUACCAAUUCAUAUAUCCCACCCAUUUUUCUAUUGGGUCACUUGUCUUUUUGUUGAAGGAGUUUCUUACAUAUUUUGAAUACCAAUUCUUUGUUUAAAAUGAAGCAAAUAUUUUUUUCCUAAUCUGUUUAUUUUCUUUUAAUAUAUUUAUGGUAAUUUCUUUUGAUAGUUUUAUAAUUUGGCAAAGUGAAAUUUAGCUGCUUUUUUCUCUAUAGGUUUUGCAAAGUUUUUUUCCUAUGUCAUACUCUGAUAUUUUCUUCUGCUGUUUUAUAUUGUAUUCAGGUCUUUAAUCCUUUUGGAACUCAUAUAUUUUUUGAGAGAGAGAGAGAGAGAAUUUUAAUAUUUAUUUUUUAGUUUUCGGCGGACACAACAUCUUUGUUUGUAUGUGGUGCUGAGGAUUGAACACAGGCCGCACGCAUGUCACGCGAGCGCGCUACCACUUGAGCCACAUCCCCAGCCCCUGGAACUCAUAUAUUUUUGAAUAGCUAAGAGUAGUCAUGUCAAUUAAUAUUUUCCAAAUGAACAAAUUGCUGAAGUCAGUGCCAUUCUCUGAAUAGUCUGUCUAUUCUUUCCCAUUGAUUUGAAAAGCCACAUUUAUCAUAUGUUUUCAUGUCUUCAUGGCUCUGUUUCUAGAUUCCCUUUUUGUGAUCUAUUGAGCUAUGUUUUAGUCCUUGAUCAAAAUGUUUUGUCUCCUGUUACUUUACAUUAUGUUUUUAUAGGCUAUGGCCCGUCUUGUCCUGCUCACCUCCUCCUAGUAUUAAAAAAACUGACAUGCCUGCCUGAAAUUUUGAAAAGGGAGUUCUAAAAGGGAGAACGUACCAUCCUACCUUUCUGAAGUGGUCCAGCAGAGGAUGGGUCUGAGAAUGGGCAGUGAGGAUAACCAGGCAUCUCACAUGGCCUGUCAGAUUGUCUUAGGUCAUCCUGGCAUGUGUGGCACGUGGCUGUUAUCAUUUCAUUUGUGUUUAUAGCAACAUAGCAGAAAUUGGACUUGAUAACUAAUCUGGAUAAUGUGGUUUGCCAAAAGUGGUUUUGUAACCAUUUUGGAGUUCCAAGGUAUUGUGCUCCAGAGAAGGCUGCUGAGGACUUCCCACCACCUGGCAGUUUCUCCUGGCAGGCUGACCAUGGCCAGCACUCAAGCCUGGUGCUUGAGGUGGAAUAAACAGAAACCAGGAAGCUGUGCUCUCCUGCUCAACACAACCUCACGUCCUUCAAGGUCAGGGAGUGACAUGCAAUUUGCACACGGUAUCUGUGCGCCCUUCUCACUCAUCCUCAAGGAGGCCUCUCCUGGAUUAUUUGUGAAAUUCAGAACAGUAUGUCCUCUUUUUUAGGUCCUCUUUUCCAAAACUUCUUUGAAUAUUCUUUCACGUAUCUCUUCUAGAGGAUUUAAUAAGUUCUUUGAAAAACCCCAGUGAGAAUUUGAUUGUGAUUUCACUGAAGGUAUGGAAUGAUUUGGGGAAUGCAUAUCUUUGCAAAGACAAAUCUUUUCUAUAAGAUACAUGCACAUUUUCUUCACUUAUUUCAGUUUUCCUUUAUAUCUUUGAGUACAAUUUUAUUCAUUUUUUUCAGUCAUAUCUCACAUAUUUUUUGCUUAUUUUAAAAUAUUUUAUAGUUUUAGGGCUUUUGUGAAUAGCUCUUUUUCAUGAAAUUUUUUAGUAGUUAUUAUAGAAUAGAGCAACUAUACUUUUCACAUGUUAAUAUUGUGCUUAACUCAACCCCGCGACCAGCACGCUAGCUUCAUACUAGAGGUUCUAAGCAUAGACGUUAACUAGUGAGAUCAAAAUAAACACACAUGAACUCAAUUUAGCUUUUUCUUUGACCAGGUCUGAGAUGGCUCCCCCUCUGGCUCCUGCCUCGAGCCACCCGGUGGGGCAGGGAGGUUUACACAAGACUAGCAGGAGAGAGAGAGGCAGGGCUCGCCAGAGAGUGGCCUUUUAUUGGGGAACAAGAAAUUCAGGGGAAAAUUCCAUCCAAUGAAGGUCGAGGGGGACAGCAUUCCAAGGUCAGGGUCAGUGAUUGGUCUCAGGGUCAAUGGUCAGUCACACCCCCACACGGAUGGGCUCUCGCAUCUAGAAAGGGUGGGGAUUAGUUCUGACACAGUUUAGCCGGAAUGUCUCACACCCAUUUGGGGAGGUACCCAAUCACGUGGGAGAAAGGCUUCCCACACUUAACCUCCAAGUUGAACCAACUCUGUGAUUCUGAUAGUUUUCUUCAAAUGAUUCUCUUGGAUUUUUCUACCUACAUGAUUCUAUUAUAUGCAAAUACUUAAAGGUUUGUUUCUUCCUUUCAAAACUUUAUAUCUUAUUUCCUUGUCAUUUAAUUGUCUAGGAAUUCCAGGCCAAUGUGGAGCAAUCAUGGUGGUCAUCAUUAUCUUAUUCCUAAUACCAUUAGGAAUAAUUCUCUUAUUUCUUAUUUAAGUAUGAUUUUGCUCCAGUUUCCAGCUGGCAUUCAUUAUCAAGGAAAGAAAAUUUUUCUUCUAUUUCCAACUUUGUAGGAGUUUGUUGAGAAUGGGUGUUAAGUUUCAUGAAUUAAUUUUUCUGCUCUGUCAAAAUGAUCAUAGAAUUUUUCCCUUUUAGCUCAUUGAUUUAACACUGUUUUGAAAUGUUGAUCCAACAUUAUUUAUUCUUAGGGAAUAAAUUCUAUUUGAUUUUUGCCUUUAUAGUAAUGAUACUUUUAAAUUGCUUAUACAUCUAGGAUAGGCAGUAUGAUUUGCUUGAAGACUGCUUAGCGGGCUUCUCUGGCUCUUUUUGUUCUGUUAUUUUGCUUCUGGUUUUAUUAGAGAUUAUAUAAGAGAAACUCAGGGUAUUUAGGAUAUAGUCUUAACUUUUUAAAGUUGACAUCAUAGAGUACAGUUCAGGCUGGUGAUUGGUGCCUGUCAGAAACACAACCAUACAUUUGAGAUGGACUGAGGGGUUGGUAAUGGUCUGACCAUGACUCAUGAGAAUACUGAGGAGUUUAUACUCACAUGAGAAAACAAGGAAAAGUGCAAACAAGGGUAAGAGUGAAGAGACGACAGCGCCGUGGAGUUAGAGAAUCCAGAACCCAGGACACAGGCAAGAGGCUAAUGAACCUUUGGUUUCCAUGACAACUAGAGAUGGCUUCUCCAUAAUGCUAAUGAAGCUGAUGCUUCCAGGCCUCUCACUUGCACAGACUCCUUCUGAGGCCCUGCUCUUCCUUUUACAUUUGUAAUUUUGCAUAGUUUUCCUUAAAGAGAGAUCUUAGGCUUUAUAAACUUUAGACCCCACAGAGCUUGAAGUGUCCCCCUCAUGACAACUCCAGGUAUGGCUCGUAUGCCAGUUACCAAGCCUGGAACAGUGCUCUGAGAGUCCCCCCACCCUCCUUUUUUUGGCAGCCCUGAUAAUUCUCUCAGUUUAACGAUUAAAGUGGGGGGCAGAUUAAAUUACUCUGUUGCUUCCCAGCUGGGUGGGGGAACUGUGGCCUGACAUAGAAGCCGGUGGGUGUCACGUGGAGCAAGUGCUCAGCUCGCUCACACUUUUCUCCCCGUGGGGGCACGUGACCAAAUUCAUUAUUAACGCUGAGCUGAUCUGGUUACCUUGAUUGACACUAAGUGAUUUCAGCCUGGGCUAUAUUUGUCUUCGUGGGGAAAAUGAGUGCCGUGGAGCUGAAAGGUUAUUUCCCUCUUCAAAUACGUUUGGGGCUGUCACUGUGGAGCUCCGCACCCUGACAUCAAAAUCAGACCCACGGGCUUUGGAAGACAGAAAAUGACAUCAUGGGCAAAAAAUGGUGUCAGCUUAGUUUUGUUUUUUCAUUCUCUUUCUGAACUCUGACAGAGGAGUAGUUUGUCUAGAAUUUGCAAGACUUUCACACAAGGAAAAAGAAUUAGUGCUAGCUGUACUUGUUUGCACACACGAAAAAUAGUUUCCAGGACAUAUUUUUUAGCCCUUGUGGUGUCUUUGUUACUACUAAGCUUAAUUAAUUUUUUAUUUGUUAAGGCUUUGGUAUCUAAUUAAAAAGUCUAAUGAAUCAUUUAGCCUGCUAUUGAAUAAAAUUUUGAGCUCUUAGUAGAAUAAAAUAUUGCUUAAUGCAGUACUUUCUUUUGUUUUAGUACCAAAAAGAAAAAUAUGACUUAUAAGAAACUCUACCUUAACCCUUCCCAUGGUUGCUAAGCACACAAGACAAGUCUGUGAAUGACCUAACAGGAUUACAAUGCUCUGCUGUGUGCAUUCUGAAUGUGUGUAAGGUGUACAUUAAAGUUAGUAACAGACAAAUAUUGGAUCCUGCCAGCCCAUCACUUCAAUUAGGAAAUUUAAAUUAGAUGGAAGUGGAAUUUUAGUCUAAAGUGUCUAUAGUAACUUAAAGUGAACUAUUGCCUUGCCUCAUAGGAUUUAAUUUUUGGGCAAAGUAAAAAGUUAAGUCUAACAGGCAGUUGUUUUGAUGGAAGAUUCUCUGGCUUUGAGAAUAAAAGAAAGUGUUAGGAAAUAAAAAGUGGGCUGGGAGUAUAGCCUAGUGGUAGAGUGUGUGGCUAGCGUGCACAAGGUGCUGGUCAAGCCCCACUACCAAGAGAAGGAAGGAAAGAGAGAAAGAAGGAGAAAAUAAAGAAAAAGAGAAGCCCUCCCCUCUGUCAUGCUCUGGUUCUAACACAUGUAUCUGGUUCUCUCCUACUGCUAGUUUAGGGAGAAGGAAUCUUCUUGCAGGGCCCACAGGGGCAAUUUGGGGGGGUCAGAGAUGCGAUAAAGCUCAUUCCAACAACUACCUGCCUUUGGAAAUAGUUCUUAUGCCAGAUAAGUCUGGGGAGUGGGGAGGCAGAGCCCAUGGUUAGCUUCAAGUCAAUUCUCAACUACCAAAUCGGCUCCACCCUCUUGGAUAUCUGCCUUCUCUCCAGGGGCCAUAAUGAUGGGUUGGGCUGGUUCAACAUUAGCAGAGAAAUGGGAGGGAGUGCCCACUGACUGAAGGAGAAUAUGUCAUGAAAACAUGGUUUCUUUUAUAUAGAGAGGCAAAUAAAAAUGCAUGUAAACAAGCAUUUUUUAUUUGAACAUUAAAUUUUAUUGGUACGGAGCAUGUAUUUUGUUAUACUGGUGACUAAUGCCCUUUAAAAAUGAGAUUUUGAAAUGCCGUUCUGCUUAUGUAACUGAGAUAAAGAGCUUUUGGAACACGGUUCUGGUGUGAACCCCUAUAAUAAUAGCUGAUUAGAAAUAAGACAACUUGAGAUGCCAAAAUGUUUUCUGCAGAGCCUUCUAUUAAGUCUAAAAAAAUUUUUCCAGAAAUUUUAUCUAAAUGGUGUUUGUCUGGGAAAGUUUUCCAACUAGACUUCAAAAGUCAUCAGUUUGGAUAUUUUGGAGUGCAAAAAUAUUUAUUUAUAUGUAGAUACCUUGCUCAGUCCCUAUUUCCCUGUCCAAUGUGGUUAAUAGGGGUCUAAUUUAUCAAACAUCUAGUUAAAAAUGAAUUAAUUUGUGAAAGAAAGAAGAGGGAAAAUCCAGGAAUGAAAGUUAAUAAACAUAAAUGAAGUUGUUUAUUGCAAAAGAAAAAAAAAUGUCUUAACCCUGACUGUAUCGCAGACUUUGAUGAUGACCCAUAAUCCUAAUUUGCCCUGAGUGAGAGAAUGCUUUUUAGACUGCAAAUGAAUUCCUGGAUGUUAGCUGUCAUGACAACGAUGAUGCACAUCGCACUUAUGGGAGUACACUUGUUCGUGGAAAUAACAGGAAGAGCCAAAGAGGCAAAGUAAAUUUAGUAAAUACUUUCUAAAAAGAAAAGAAACAAUAAACGUUUUCCAAGUGAAUAUUUUCCCAGGUUAGUGAUUUUCUUGUACCAGAAAACUUAAGGAUCGUGGAGCUGCUAGCCACACGUGGAGUCACAGGGGUUGGUGCUCUUGGGCUGCUCUGGGACCCCAGACCUGGCUUCCCUUGCAGAGGCUCAUGUCCUAACAUCAUUCCAGCCCCUGAGAGCUCUGGACCCAGGCCACCAGGGAAAGCCUUCCAAGUUUUAGAUUUUCAUAAGGGUCCUAGUAUCUGCAAAGUAUGUGUAGUGAAAAUAAAAAGUGAUUGGAUUCUAUUAACACAAUGCAAAACCAGCACUAAUUUCACAGGAGAAAGAGUCGGAUUUUGGUUCAGCUCCAUUUUUGAAGUUGAUGUAAUUCAGGAUAAUUUUGUUUUCAUCAAAUUGUUCCUGAUUCUGAGUUGAGGUCCAAUCGGUGUUCUGUCCCAAAAUAAAACAGAACAAAACACUCUCAGUUUAUUGUAUAAUACGAAAGCUCGCGGUCUUUGAAAACAGACAACACUGAGAUUGAAUCUGGGUUCUGCAACUGCAUGUUUGUUUCAGUUUUCUCACUUAUGAAUGGGCAAAAUGAUACUUUCUUUCCUCUACAUUGUGAGGAUUAAAUGAGAUAAUAUAUGGAAAUCAUCUGGCACAUAGUAGACACCCAAUUAAUGUUCACCCUUGUCCUUCCACACCUCUUUUGGGGGAGCCCUUUCCUGUUUGGAUAAAUCAAAAUUUUCUAGCAUCUGAGGACUCUUAACAGCUCUUAUUAACUUACAAAAGAUUUUCUCGACUAUUUUUGCAUUUCUAAGUUGUCAAAUCAUAAAAAUGGUGUUUUGAUUUGACAUUGCUCUCAGGGUCCCCACAGUCCUUCACAGUCUGAAUAUCAUCCAUGGGGAAGACCAAACAGGUUGGGAAGUCUCUGUGUGGCGAUGCUCUCACCUUCAUUUGCUAAGCUGCUUCCUCUUCUCUACCCAUUUGUUUUUCACUCCUGGGUUCCUCCUGGAAGAAGGAAAGAGUUCUAUAAACCCAGGCACUCUGAGCUCCUGCCUUAAAAGGAUGUGGGACAGAAGGAAGACUGUUAGGGGAAGAUGCUUUGGAGAAGCAGGGCAUUCCCUGAACCCCAGAAUGCCACCACGCAGAGGGUGACCUAUUUCCUGCCAGCUCUACCAGAAGGUAUAAGAGAUGGCUAAGGAGGGAUCUUGGCCUGAUCAAAUUCAAGGUUAUUCACGGAUUCAACCAAUGUUUACUGAGCACUUUUCCCUCCAUUGCUGCACGGUAACCACCAUGAAGAACCCAUUGUUUAAGUCCUACUGCGGCAGGACUCCGUGGAUAAGCUGCUGGGAGAAGCUGACGCCCUGAAACUAUGUGCAAAACAGACGUGCAUCGCAUAGGCCUUUGUGCAUUUCUGGGGAGAACAUCCAGAACUCUCAUUAGCUUCUCAGAAUGUGAGGAACCACCUGCUGCUUGUGAACUGAAUGUUCUCCUUGUACUCUGCUGGGGCCAGUGGGAAUCUUGGCUCUCGGAGUCCCUCCUGAGUCUCCAGAUGAUAAAAUACCACCACAGAGGGUGCAUUCACCUUUCCAUGAAAGCUGUGCCCAGUGACUGUGGCAUUUGCUGGACUUCCUUCGAACCCCUGCUCCCUGGACCAUCCCCCUGGUAACAGGCUGGCUUGCAUUCAGCUAGAGAUAAAUCAUUUUCCAGCCAACUGGUACUAAGCCAUAUCUGGGUAAACACUGCAGAAAGAGCACGGAUGAGGCCCCAGAGGGCCAGGCCUAGCCACCUUAGCCAGGCCGCUCAAGCCUUGCUCUCCAAUUGGGAUGGGAGCUUCUGCUGGCAGGGCCCUGGCUUCCUCCCUCAUUGCACCCUGCACAAUGCCUGAUACCACGGAGGUGCUCAGUUCACAUUUGUGGACUUGAAGUAAAAGGGGCAAGUAAUUCUUGCCCCAGGCUGGGGGAGGAAUACCAUUUAAAUAAGCAUGAAUUGCAAGUCAGGGGCUCAGGGACUGUAGCUCAGAAGAUGGCAAAGGAUCUUUGGCUCACGGGCCAGGUGAAUUGGUGGGGAACCAGAGAAGCCUCUAUGGAGGAGAAGCUGUAGAGGUGGGACUUGAAGAGAGGCCGAAGGUAGCCAUGGGAAUGUGAGAGCAAAGUGCACCUGGGGACGGAGGGGCGGAGCCAGAGCGUUGUUGCCAGGAGAGCCUAGAAGAGAGCAGCCAAGUGGUGGUGUUCAGUCCUUAGACACCCACAGCUCUGCAUCCCUCUUGUGCAGCAGAGGAGGGCAGGGUGAUGGGCUGUCCGCCUCAGCCACACCACAGAGCUGUGGCUGGACCCAGGUUUUGUGGAUUCUUGGGCCGAGGCCCCACAGCAGAGCUGCCCAAUGAGGCUCAGUGCUGUGCCGUGUUCUGCCUUUUCCCAGCCAAAUGGCCUCAGUGUCAGCAGAAGGUGACAGAUCAUGGCACUCACACAGAUCAGUACGGAAGGCGGGCAGAGAGCAGAUCUAUAAUUACCUAGGCAGCUGACGGGCUUUUCCCAGGGGAUCACAUUUCAGCUUAUGCCGUCAUUUAUAAGCCCAGUUUGACUCUGGUAAUGAAGUCAGGCAGUGUUAUUGGGUUUGAGAUUAGAUUUUGUUUUUUCUCUUCCCACUCCCCCUCUCACCUGCUUUCUCCAAAUUUCACUUCAUCUGUCUCCAUCUGGUCUCUGGCAUUUUCCAGGUUGUAACUCUUUAUCACAGAGGCUACAUUCUGUGGGGAAAGGCUAGUCAUUGGAAUUGUUGCUGAAUAACUUCCAUGAGACUCAAUGUCUCUUUUAAAAAGUGUCUCUCUUCCUCCAGGGGGUCUUCCUGGAUUGUCUGUCCCUAAGAUUUUGCUUCCUUUAUUAUGGCCAUGCCGUGGGUGGUUCUCUCCUUUUGUAGAUGAUUCUAAAGGAUCAUAGAGAAUAUUCAGGACCUAGACCUUUUAAAACAUCCGUUCUUCAGCCACCCUUUUACAUAGGAAUGGGGUAGUGGUGGUGGGAAUUCUGGAGUACCUUCUCAGAGUCUGUAUGGGAACUGUCUCCUCCAUCAGCCUGGGUGCUUUGUUUGGUCCUCCCAUUCUUUUUCUCCAGAAUGCUCGUUCAGGGGUGCAGGGGUGAAGGCUGGGCUGUGCAGUGGGUGGGUGGAGGGCUACAUGUGUGUAUGCCCGUGUACACAUGCAUGCAACCCAAGCCCCACAGCCCACUUCCCGGCAGGAAUCUAAGCAUCACUGAUUAAGGCAGUGGGCCCCGGAAGGAAGGGUUUGUGCCUGAAAGCCCUGGGGUCCCUUGGCAUGUGUGGACACUGCUGUUGCUGUCCUCAGCUCAGAGGGCACCCUCCUGAGGGAAGGCUUGCAACUCUCCGCUGCUUGGCUCUUGUGGGGUGGGGGCAGCCCAGCACAGGGGACGGAGGCAGAGAAUGACCCCUGGAGCCUGCCCCACUUCACCCCUGCCCCAGGAGGUGUCUCCUCUUGAGACCCCUUCACACUGGGCCACAUAGUCCCUCUGGGCUGUGCGCUAUACUAGCCAGGAGAGGAAGGCUGGUCCAGAUAAGGGUAAGUGCUGAGCCAAGGCCCAGAGGCGGCAGCAACACACGGACAAUUACAUAUUUUCUUAUCCCAAAAUUGAAUAGAAAUUGCAAAGGGUACAAUUUCUUUUUUAUACAAAUACCUUUAUUUUAUUUAUUUUUUUGUGGUGCUGAGGGUCAAACCCAGUGCUUCAUACAUGCCAGGCAAAUAUUCUACCACUGAGAUACAACCCCAGCCUUUUGAGAGUGCAAUUUCUGCCAUAUUGAAAAUUAAGCAGUUAUAAAAUAAAUCAUUUUCAAAUGCCAUCACUAUUUAAUGCAUUCAAUAGAAUAUAAAUACCAUAGCAGUUUGACAUUCACCAUGACCUGUUUAAAAACAUAACAGCAAGCUCUUCUUUCGCCUUCAGAAAUUUUACGUUGUUCCUAUUUCUCCUUGAAUCUGCAAUUUCCAUAAAAUUUUAUCCUACUCUGUUUAUAUUCAUUCCUCUGUCAUUCAAAUGUAUGCAUAUUGUGAAAUUAAUUUUACAAAUUUACUGUGAGCAUGAGCUCUAAUUGUUAAAAAUUUUUUUCUAGAGUAUCCAUUAAAAUAAUUUUUAUUAUGUAAUUGAUCAAAAUGCUGCAGAUACAAUGCAAUUUUUAAAAGAUAACAAAAAUACAAUAUUAUUAGAAACUCACCUCUUAAUGACAUGGAAGAAACUUUCUUUUCUCCCAUGUGCUCUUCUGGUCCUGAAUGAAUAUUACUUAUUAUUAGAAUAACAUGGUACAGAGCUUCAAUUCUAUUCCUAUUUUUUUCUAAUAGAUAUGCUGAGAAAAAUGUGCCCACAAAAAUAUGAUGGGCAUAAUAGGAGUUUUGUUAUAGUGUGACACUCAAUUCUUUGAACCCCUUUCGAGUUGUAUAUCAAAAUCACACCAAAAAUCAUUUUUAAUGAUCUAUCAGCUGACAGUCCAAUUAGGUACUGAAUCAAUUUGGUUGUGUGAAAGGGAUGGAGAGUUACCUGACUGGGAAAAUUUAUUAGUCUUUAUAUUCAUUCAGAUUUCAAAUUUCUGGAAGGUAUAUCAAAAAGGUUCAGAUAUGAAUUAUAUCUGGUCACAGUUUCCCCAUAACAGUGCCUUAUUUAACCUGGUAUGUUCUGAAAGAGAAAAAUAUUUUUGUUAAUGUACCUUACAAAUGCAAAGUUUUUCUUUUAAUAAAAAGUUUCUAUAAACACACCCUUGGAGCUGCAGAUUAAGCUCAUUUGAUUUUUGGAUUUUGUCUACCUUUUAACUAAAUUAGUAAACCUUGCCAUCAAACCAAGUGGUCCAAUCAGACUGACUCUCAGUCAGAUUGCAUUUUGUAAUCCAAGUAAAUGUGUCAACAUGCAUCCCAGAGAUGGUCUCAUUUUAUGAGUUCUAUUUCUGGUAGAGUGAGAGAUCAGGCACAGAGGCUUGCCCUGUGUUUGUCACUGUGGGAAAUAAGGCCUUGCCACCGUUAGCAUUUCUCUAGUGCUCUCUCUGCCCCACUCUUGGGGACUCUCCCACAUACACCACUCUUACAAGACAGGGGAUGGAAGAGUUGAGAUUAUUAAAUGAAUGUGUCUUAAAUUGUCACUUAGUUUGAUGUACUGGAGGCUUCCGUCUCCUGGGAACAAUGUACCAUAGUAAUUAAGGCUCGGGAUGGAUUAGAGAAAUCCCUUGCUUUUGUGAAGUGCAAUUGUGAAAGGGGAGUGGGAAAAGAAACCCCACAGGAGCUUUGACUAUGAGGCAUUCUCAGGCAGAUGUUUUGGAAAAAAUAACCAUAGAAGUUGAAAAUCUAGAAUUGGAUUCGCUUAAACCUAUGUGUCCACAUAUCUUCUGGAAAGUCUCAAGUUACCGGUAAUAUACGUCAUGCCUUGGUUUGAAGGCCACUAACCUAACCCAAAGAAGCAUUGUGGCUGGCCCUGCAGGAAGGUUACAUUGGUCCUCACCUCUCAUUUCUAAUGUCAUUCACCAAAUAUUUGUUGAGAGCCAGACACUAGUCUGGAUCUUAUGGGGAAAAGUAUACUCUGCUCCUGUCCACACAUUGAAGGGAUUCAGGAAAUAAACCCCAAAUUUGCCACUUUGUUAUAUGGAUUACUUUGAGCUGAGAGUUCUUGAAAAACAGCAAAUGCCAAGAGGUGUCUACUUGUUGGCCUCUUAAUUUAUUUGGUCUGGAAGUAGGUUGAAUAAUGCCCUCCCCAUUCAUGGCUACGUGGAACCCCAUAAUGCAGUCUUAUUUGGAAAUAAGUUCUUUGCAAAUGUAAUUUGUUAAAAGAUCUUCAAUUGAUAUCAUUGAUUUAUUGUGAAUGGUAAUCCAAUGGUGGGUGUCCUUAUAAGGAAAGGAAAGACUACAGACAGAGAAACACAGAGCAAAAGGUCAAGUGGAGACAGUCAGAUCUGAGAGUCACCUGCCACAAACCAAGGAUCACCUGGGGCCACUGGAAGCCACAAGAAGCAAGGGAGCCUUCCUCAUUAGAGCCUUCAGAGAGCAUGGCCCUGCUGACAUGUUGACUUUGUACUUGUAGCCCCCAGAACUUGAAAGAACAAAUUUCUGGUUUUUUAAGCCUUCCAGUUUGUGGUACUUAUUACAGCAGCCAUAGGAAACUAAUACAGUCUAGAAUGCAGUAGUUCUCUCAAUUUAUAAUCUUUUUUACUUUUAGGUUAGAAUUUUGAUUAUUCUUCAAGUUUCUUCUUCACAUUACCUAUAAUUCACAAGUAGAAUUUCUUGUCUUUCAUUUCUCUGGGGUCUCUCUCAUUGUUUUCAUCUCUUUGUCCUUUCCCUGUAUGUUCAGAGAGAGUUUCUGAAAUGUCAGGAAGAAUCAUUGAAGACUGAAAUGGGCAAAAGAUUACUGGGUGGAACAGUAAUAACGGGACAUUGAAUAUCAUGUGGGAGAUCUCUUCAAGAUUAUGUGGUCAUAUAAGUCCCUUAGAAUUUCUUUUCUUUGCUCUAGGUCAUGUUAUGACUCAUAAUAUGUAGAAAACUGGUAAUUUUGGAAAUGAUUCCUGUUAAUGGAAAUGGGGAAAGGAAGGAGGAACCCAGUGGGACAAGAAGGAGGCCUGAGUACCUGUGGGUUCCCAAAAAAAAAGUGUCUACAGAAUCCUACCUUCCUCCCAAACAACUGCUUCUUUGAGGACUGGCCCCAUGCCUACUGGAAUCCUUAAUUUUCCCCUAUCAUCUUGACUGUCACUCUUAAAUGAUUCACUAGGUCUUAAUGUAGCUUAAGCAUUUGCCAAAGUGCACAAAAAGAAAAAAAAAAUGGUUCCUGGAAUUUUGGUCUUUUAAUCACUGCUCCAGACUGGUUCUGGGAACUGACAGGCACCAUCUGCAAAAGGUUUUUGGAGGAAACGGGUGGGAAGAGGGGUGGGUGAGGUCCUCAGGAAGAAUAUGUCCCCAGAUUCAUUAGCACAGAUGAGUCUGCCGUCCCCUAAACUGAGCAACCGCUGUGAGGAGAAAACCAGGCUGUGGUGUCUUCUCCAAGCCUGGAUAUUUUAACUUCAUUUCCAGACUCAAUCUUGCCACUCCUUUCUUGAUUUAUUUUCUUGCUUUUUUGGCUGUUGUCAUAGAAAAAUAUGUUCUCUUUUCAAACAAACAGCUCUGAAAAAGAUAGGACAGGAGAGAGGUCUCAUUUUUAGCCUCAUCUCUAAGCUUCCAGAAGAUAAGCCACUCUUUCCAGUCCCAGGCUCUCGGCUUCACACUAUGGUCCUGGCACAUGAGGUCCGGCCAAGUUCCAUCUUCCUUGUGGGGUCCUCCCUGGCCCCCCUGAACUUCUACUUCACUCUCCCCUUCACGGUUUAAUUUAAUUCUAGACUUAGGUGAAUUAAUUAAAUAAAUUAUAUAAAUCUUCUGGUGAUAUGGAAUUCCCCUUUUUUCCAGCUAUAAACACCUAGCAGCAAGAAUCGACUCUGGCUUCCUUUCCUUUCACCAUGGCCUUUAGCAUGACACUGGACUCUGGUAGGAGUUGAUAGAUGACUUGACCCGAAUUCAGGCCUUGCCUGACCUUUUGAAAUACUAUAGCAUGAUUUACAUUUCCAAGGUUAGGCGAAGGGCACUGGGAAGUGGGCAGACUUCCAUCUCCCCAGAUGCCCCACAGGAUCAUAUCAUAGGGAAUUAUACCAGAGUGUUACUCCAAAACUCCCAGGUGGGGGCCUGGCACUGAGGCAUUAACUAUUCUACCCACCGUAGGAUAAAUUGUUCAACCUACUGUAAGUUUCUGUGCACUUGUAGAAACUUCUUUGUGCUUGGGCAUCUGGGGCUGAAAUUUCUUCCCCAGUUCUUCAAUCCUUCUCUCCGGUUAAGUGAGGGCUCAUCAUUUCUCAUUUUCUCUCUGGCUGUACCCCAUUUCUCCUUCCUAUGUCUUCUCUGGAUUUUAGAGAAAGUAUAUCCUCACGAGCUUUGCCAAUCAUCUUUCCUUUCCUUCAAAAAAUGCUUUCAAAUCUUUUCUUCCCCAGAAAGUCCUUCAUGACUGAGCUGAGGGAAGAGAAAAUGGUUUUUAUUUUUCUUGUGCAAAUUUUUCUGCUGUGGUUAGAUUGAGAAAACACCAAGCUCAGUCUAUAAUGCGAUCAUUCUUUCAUAAAUAAGGAUAUUACUUCUUUAAUUCUAUUUUGCUCUGGGUCUAGGUCUUGGACCUUCCUCAAGUUUCCCUGAGCGUGUGCUUUUCUAGAUCAGCUAAGUCUCAGAAUGGGCUUUGAGGCUAAGAUGUCCCAGUAUUUAGGACAGUUUGUUUUCUGUGUCUUCACUUCCUCUACUCUUUGCGCUCCUCCUUCUGUAGGGUCUCUGUCCCUGACUUCUCUCCUCUCCUGUUCAUUCUGCCUCUUAAGAAAUGAGUUGUACCAAGACCCAAAUACAUUGUUUACUUGUCAGAGGGCAGGUGAUGCAGAGAGGAGCCAGGUGAAAUCAAUUCACCAAAGCCCAUGAAGCCAAACCAGAGACUGAAUGGCAGUAAGAGCAGGGCCAUUUUGGGGCACAGGGCUUUCCUAGUACCUCACAAUGGCACCUACCGGGUCUUUACUCUUUUAGACGCUUUGCCAAACUGAGCUGCCCUGGUCUUGUUUGGAGUGGACUUGGCACCAACUGAAUCUAGAAUAUUUGCACUGACAAUCUUAUAACAGAAUCGAUUUGAAAAUUAUAACAGAAUCAAGCAGAAAGUUCUAGAGUUGAAAGGAAGGUUAGACAUCCUCUAACCUGGAUGGAGUGAGUGGUGCCUCACUCUGCUGAUGAGAAACUUCAGCCCCAACAGAAAUGAAGAAUGGUCCUUCAGUUUGCUAGGGCAGAGCUGGGUCUACAGCUCCAAUCUCUUGAUUCUCACUCCAAAGCUUGCUUUUUUACUCCACUUUCUCUAGUUCUCGUGGCCAUACUUGUUUGUUUAAUUUUUCUAUAUGAACUUUAGAAUCAGCUUUUUUAGUUACAUACACACACACACACACACACACGUCCUGUAGGUAUCUCUAUUGAGUAGUAUUUGAUUUAAAAAUAACUGAACAGAGAAUUGACAUUUUCAUGAUGAUGUAUCUUCCCAUCUAAGAAUAUGGUACACAUUUUCAUUUUCAAAUCCCCUUUUAUAUUUUUAAAGUUUUUUAUACACUUCUUAUACUUUAUAAGGAUUAAUAACAGCUAUUUUAUAUGUUAGUUGCCAUUGAAAAUAGAGCCUUUCAUUCUACUAUAUCUUUUAACCAGUCCUUACUUAUAUAUAUAUAUAAAGAUGAUUGUUUACAAUAUUAAUUGUAUAACUUGUUUCACUAUUGAAUUCUCUUGUUUCCAACAGUUUUUCAGUAGAUUAUCUUGGAUUUUCAAGAGAGAAUCAUGUUAUCAUGAUCAUUUUGCCUCUGACUUUUAUACCAUAUACAAAAGUUGCUUAAAAUGACAGAAAAUUAAAAACUUUUUUUGUUUAAAAGGAUACCCCUAAGAAAGUGAAAAGACAAUACACAGAAUGGGGGAAAAAAUUUUAAAGCAUAUAUCUAAAGGGAAUUUGCAUCUAGAAUAUUAAAGAACUCUUAUAACUCAAUAAUAAAAAUACACAUAAUCAAAAGCAAGUAAAGGAUCUAAACAGGUGUGUCUCCAAUGCGACUAUACCAAUGACCAAUAAGCACAUGAAAAGAUGUUUAACUCAUUAGCCAUCAGGGAAAUGCAAAUAAAACUACAAUAAAAUACCAUCGUAUACCUGCAUAAUCAAAAACAUAGAUGAUAACUACUGUUGGCAAGCACAUGGAGAAAUCAAACCCUCUUCUGCUGGUGGUAGAAUUUAAAAUGGUGGUACUAUUUCUGAAAGCAAUCUAUCAGUUCCUGAAAUAGUUAAAUAUAGGGUUACCAUAAGACUCAACAAUUCCACUCCUAGGUAUCUCCCUCAGAGACGUGAAAACAUGUCCAUACCAAAACUUCAAAAAUAAAUGUUCACAGCAGCAUUAUUUAUAAUAAUCAAAAAGCAGAAGCAAUCCAAAUAUCCAUCAACAAAUGAAUUCAUAAAUAAAAUGUGCUACAUGUGUACAACGUAAUAUUAUUCAGCAAUAAAAGGAAAUGAAGUUCUGAUAUAUCCUAUGACAAAGUGGACCUUGAAAACAUUAUGCUAAGUGGAAGGAGCCAAUCACAAGGGACCACAUAAUAUAUGAUUCUAUUUGAAUUAAGAGAAGCAGAAAAUAGAUUAGUGGUUACCUGGAGUUGGAAGGGGGAUGAGGGAUGGUAAGUUGGGGGAUGGUAGCCAAGGGGUGUGAGAUUUAGAGGGGUAGUGAAAAUGCUAUUCUAAUAUUGAUGAUAGUGAUAGAUGCCAUUGAAAUGCACACUUAAAAUGGGUGUAAAUUUUGUAUUGUGCAAAUUAUAUCUCCGUAAGGUUGUUUGAAAUUGUGCCAAGGAAAGCUGGGCACCAAUUUUGGAUCUACAGUGCAUGUAUGUAUGUGGGGGGGCUGAUCCUGGUAUUGGCAUCAUAAGAGAUAAGGGUAAAGAACAAGAGCUCCAUCUCAGAGAAAGGGGAAGGGCACUAAAUGCCAAGUUAAGAAAAAUAUAGUGUAAUGGUUGACAUAUAGAUAGGUGUCCAUCCUGGGUCUAAUCUAUAAAUGAGGGAAAGUAAGCUGCCGUUUCCUCAAAAUCAUGCAGCUGGCUAGUGGCAGUCUCAGGAUCAAACUUUAGAAGCCUGACAGCAGAGUCCUCCUUGUUAGGCAACAGUGACCCCUCAGAGCAUGAGGACUUAUGUUUUAAAUCUACCAUCUGGUGGCCAUCAUCCUCAAGCCAAAGGGGUGUGGCCUUAAUACUCUCUUCCCUUCACUAAGCCUGUGGUGUGGAGUCCCCAGAGGCUUCCUGUCUUGGGUUGGAGUUAGCUGCUCAGGGUCCCUGAGAGGAGUCACAACUCAUCCAUGGACAUCUUCUGGGGAUUCAUAGUUACUAGCUGAGCUGGGGGAACAGAAGCCAGAGAAAUAAAGGGUAGUGAGAGCAAAGUAUGGGGCACAUGAAAACCCCCCUCCAGUCCCAACAAUGAUGAACUUCAGCAUCUGGAAAUUUUGCCUGAGCUCUUCCUCAUGGGUUCUCAGGAACCUCCGAAUCUAGGUUGGUAGCUCAGAGGCCUCCACCUGGACAGCAGUGGCAUGGGCUGGAUGUAGAUGUGUUUGGCUUCCCUGGGUGACCUCAAUACAAAACACUACAUUCCUCAGUAGGCCUGGGGACUUCUCCCUUAUUUAAGAGGCAGACGAACUCCCUGCCCUAACUCCUCACAUGGGCCUUCCACUGACACUGGGUAAACUAGGAACCCAUCAAGGCCCAGUGCCCCAUGGAGUCACCCCCAGCGGGGUGCAGGGAAGAGCAGUGACCUGAGCCUCUCUCCACCAGCCCAGCCUCUGAACCCUCCUCCCAACCCCCAAGUCCCACCAGGCUGUCCCACCGUGUGGGGGAGGGAUGGGGAGAUGUCCAGGCAGAGGUCAGGCAGGGGGAGGGAUAUCAGCAGAGGACUAGGGCAGGAAGGUGUUGACUGGAUGUCGAACAGGAGGGAGAGCAUAACCAAUGCAGGGAGAAAUUUGAGAAAAGGUGAAGGUGGAAUUUGUGAAGCUGGUAGGCACAGGUACAGGUGUAGGUGGCCCCUCUCCCUGGUAGCCUCAGCUUGCUCUGAGCUAUCUUGGGUUUCCCUCUGCCCUCUCCUCUGGUUUGUUCUCAGUUUUACCUGGGUUUAUGUAUCAGCUCGGUUGCUUACUGCUUGGGGAUACACAAUUCAAAGGCAUUAAGUACAUUCGCAGUGUGGUGCAGCCGUGGCCACGACCCAUUUCUAGUACUUUUUCAUCAUCCCAAAUAGAAACUCUGUUCCGAUGAAGCAAUACCUCCCCAUCUGUUGCCCGCCCCCCAGCACCUGCUCACCUUCAGCCUCUUCUCUGUCUCUAGGAAUUGGGCUGUUUCACAUCAUGGAAACAUACAGUAUUUGCUCUUGACUGUGUGGCUUAUUUCACUUAGCAUGAUAUCUUCAAGGAUCAUCCAUGUGUCAGACUUUUCAUUUUUUAAAGAUAAGAAUAAUAGCCUGUUGAACAUAUAGACCACGGUUUCUUUUGUUGGGGGAUUACUGGGGAUUGAACUCAGGGGCAUUUGACCACUGAGCCACAUCCCCAGCCCUAUUUUGUAUUUUAAGUAGAGACAGGGUCUCACCGAGUUGCUUAGCAUCUUGCUUUUCCUGAGGCUGGCUUUGAACUCGUGAUCCUCCUGCCUCAGCCUCCUACGUCUCUGAGAUUAUAGAUAUGUGCCACCAUGCCUGGCAAGACCGAAUCUUGUGCAUCCAUUAAUGCACAUUUGGUUUCAGCUUUUGUCUAUUAUAACUACCAGAGUUAUAUAUGCUCAUCUGUUUGUUCUGAGGGUCAGAACCCAGACUCUGGGAACUCCUCUGCCUGAGACCUGUCUUUUGCUUACUACUCUGGAUGUUGGUGAACAUCUUAACCUCUAAGUGUUUCAGUUUCUCACCUGCAAGAUGGAAGUUUCAAUUUGUUGCAAGGAGGAAAUGAGUCAAUAUGUAUGAAGCAGCUCCAGUAAUUUCUGGUGCCUGGUCAGCAUUUCAGAAGGUUAACUGUUACUGUGCUGGGAGUUCAUGUUUAGGUACCACCUACAGUGAGACCUAUUGGGGGACCCAAGUUUCUAACUCUGAGAAUUGGUGGUCAAAAAUGAAGAAUUUAGGAAAAGAAAGUGUUAGAGGUGGAAGUGGCUUUGGGGAUCACCUACUCAAACCUCCUCCUUUUAUCAGUGGGGAAACUGAGGCCCAGAGAAGAGGCACCCAGAGUGACAGAGGCAAAGCUGCAGCCAGACCCCUGCACCCAACCUCCAGACAGGGCCUCUCUGGGCCUUUGGUCUUAUCUGAGACACAAGGCCAGCAGUUUGCUGAGCUCUGCACAACACAUGUCCUUUGUCUUCCGACUUCUGCAUGCCUGGGGUUGGGGGAGUGUCUCCACCUAGGACGGUCUUUUCUGGUAGGAGCAAGGAAUGGACAGGAGGAGCCCAGACCUGGCUGGCCCACUGGUGGCGAGACUUUGGUUAUUUUAGGAUUAGCAACCUGCUCUGGGUAAGCACAUCUGUUGUUGGGGUGUUUGUGUUCUCUUUGUUCAUUUCAUUGAUUUUCUGUGAGGUUAUUUUUGGAGAAUUCCAACCUGUCUGAGCUUGGCAGAGGGGGACAACAGGAUUGUAGCCCACAUCUGGGCCAGAGAACAAGNGGCAGGUGUCUGCUAGAGGAUUCCUGAGAGGGAGGGUUGCCAGCUCCUGCCCUGGUUCUGACUCCCAGAGGAGUCUUGGGCCUGGUUAGGGUUCCCUCUGGACCUGAAGGAGCUUUGCCAGGUAGUCAUUGCAGGUAAUGGCAGAGCUUUGGAGGGAGUGUCCAAACUGGUUUAACACCCUUUUGGUAUUGCUCUCGUUUUGUGGGUUUCUUUCAUUCACCUGUUAAGGACCUGCCCUGCAUUAAUCUGUGUUCCCUGAAGAAUGAAAAGCCAGUUUGUUUGUUUAAGGGCUGUGCUCCUGCCUCUGGCUCUGGGAUCACCUGGUCUGCCCUCUGGCCGCAGCCCAUCAGCCCCUGACAGCAGACUAGGUGGAACUCCAGUGACGCAAAGUGCAUUUCAGCUGAUAUAAUAGGGGGCCCACACUUAGUCAAGUGACUGGAGGAAUCUGGGACAAUUCCUUGACUCAGAAUAUCCCCUCUCGACUAUACCUGAGGAACCUAAAUGGCACCAAAAGUCUGAGGUGGUAUUCCUUCUUCAAUCAACAUUUUUUUCAAUCUUUAAUAAUUUUUCAUUGUGUUAAAAAAGCAUGAAAAUCUAUCUUUUUAACAAAUCAACUGUAUAGUACAAUAUUGUUAACUAUAUGUCUAUGGUUUUUGCAGCAGAUCUCUAGAAUUUUCUCAUCCCACGUGACUGAAACUCUAGCUAUUAAACAGCAACUCCCUGUGUCCCUCUCCCUUGAGACUCUGGCAACUGCUUUCAGCUUCUAAGAGUUUGACUAAUUUAGAUCCUUCUUACAAGUGGAAUCAUGCAGCAUUUGGCUUUCCAUGACAGGCUUAUUUCACUUAUGUCCUAUUUCUAUUUCUAUUCUUUCCAUUGGUCUACAUAUGUCUGUCCUUAUUCCAGUACCAUAUUGUUUUGAUUACUGUCAUUUUGAAAUACAUUUUGAAGUCAGAAAGUGUAAAGCUCCAGCUUAGCAUUUUCUCAGGGAUGUUCUUUUUUCCAAUUUCAUAUAAAUUAUAGGAUUGUUUUUUCUUAUUUCUGAGAAAAGAAUGCCAAUGUAUUUUUUUUAAGUAUUGCAUUAAAUCUGUAAAUUGUUUUGGGCUGUAUAGACAUUUUAACAAUCUUAAGUCUCUAACCCAUGGACACAUAUUGUCUACAUUCAUUUAUAUUUUUAAAUUUCUUUCAGCAGUGUUUUGUAUUUUCCACUGUGUAAGUCUGUAAAUUUAUUCCUAAGUAUUUUAUUCUUUAUUAUGUUAUUGAAAUGGAAUUGUUUUCUUAAUUUACUUUUGGAUUAUUUGUUGUUAGUGUAUUAAAAUGCAAUUGAGUUUUGAAUAUUCAUUUUAUAUUCUGCAACUUUGCUGAACUUACUAGUCCCCAGAGCUUCUUAUGUAUAAUCUGUAGUACUUUCUACAUUUAAGAUCAUUCCAUCUGUGAACAGAGUUAAUUUUAUUUCCUUCUUUCUUAUUUGGAUGCUUUUUUCCUUUUUCUUGCCUAAUUGCUCUGAUCAAGAUUCCUUGUACUUUGUUGAAGAGAAGUGGUGGGAAUGGACAUCUUUGCCUUGUUCCUGAUCUUAUGGAGAAGCAGACAAAGUCAAUCAACGAAUACCAAAUGCUAACUAUGGUCUGAAAGAGCUUGAUUUUUAUUCUUUCAAGCUUGCUUAUCUAAUCACUUCAUUAUUCUGAGCCUCAUUUUAACUCCUAUAAAAGAGAGAACUGUAUUAGAUGAUAAAGUCCUAUCCAAUUUCAAUGCUCUUUCUAAAUUUUAUGAUCCCAAGAAUAUUAUUUAGCACCUAUUAGAAACAUUCAACCAACAGAAGGUAUAAGAGAUGAAAUACUCAAUUCUUGAUCAAUUAAGAACAGAUAAAAAGCACUUAUAUAUGUGGUACUAGGCAAGAAAUAUCCUUGUUUCCUGCCCAGGAGGAGUCCACAAUCUGUAAGAAAGGUAAGGCAUAAAUGUGUAAGAAAUGCAGUAUCAGUAGGAGUGGCACAGGAGUGCCACACCAAAAGGCAGCACAUAACUCAUUGCCACAUGAAGGCACAGGAACAGUUUUAUGGGAAAGCUCAGAGUAGGUGUUGUGAUGACACUUCUUCCAACAAAAAGAUAUGGGGAGUGGGGUGGGGGGAGACAGAGAGAGACCCCCAGGAUGAAUGGCAUCUUGAAGAAUUAGGUCAGGAGUCCCAGGAGGAGAUUUGGCUGGAAUUGUUGGGAAUGGAUAUUGGAAAAGAUGUGCAAAUGGUGGCUAUUUGGUGGGGUUUGUGUCUCCUGCAUCCAUCCUUCUUUAUUUUGCAGUCUUCACUGGUUUCAUUCUAGGAGACAUCCCUUCCUCCCUCUUCAGCCCAUUAAAUAAGCAAGCUAGAAAGAAUAACUGCAUGUGAUGGGAGUAUCUGAUUCCUUCUCCUCAACCCAUAUGAUUGGUCCAUGGAUGAGCUUGUGGCCCAAUCACAAAGAAGGAACUUAUGCAAUGUGUGCUGGAGCUACUAGGAGGAAAAAAGUUCUCUUUCUCAUUGGACUUGAACUUGGAGUCCAUUUUGCCUACAGAUCUCUUGCCACCCAGGAGUACAGAGUCUAACAGUGGAGCCAAUGUAGAGGAAGCAAGUUAGAGAGAUAAGACCAGGUCCUAAAGACUUCAUGUGAGACCCUGCGUCAGGCCAUGCCUGAAACCAGCCAGACCUACCCUCUGGACUUUUUAACUAUGUAGUCAUAACAUUUCCUUUCUUCCUAUGUGAACUUGAGUUGGUUCUCUUGAAACAGAGAGCAUGUUGCAAGGUGAGCCUUGAACUAGAUUUGGGUGAAUAGAGGUGAACAAAGAAGGCAAUCUGGGUGUGCAGUGCCAUAUGAACUAGGGUAUUCAUGAGGGGAAGGAUGUGGUGUCCAUGAAGCUGUCCAUGAAGUCACAAACUGACUGCAAAAUGCCCUGCAAGAAAACACUUAUUUUAAUUUAUUUGUGUAAAUAUAUCUAUUUGGACAAAUUCAGUGGGAUCCACUAAGGAGUGGACAUUUUAGUUUCUAAAAAUGAUGGAACAACAACAAAUGUUUUACUAAACAUUUACUACAUGCGAGAUGUUGUAUUGUUUCCACUGAACCCUUUCAAUAGCCCAUAGGAUAUCAUCUCUCCAUUUUAUAGUGACAAAACUGAGGCACAAAAAAUUUGCCAAUGUGAUGGCACAUACCUGUAAUUCCAACAACUCGGAAGGCUGAGGCAGGAGGAUUGCAAGUUUGAGAUCAGCCUCAGCAACUUAGUAAGGCCCCAAGCAACUUAGUGUGAACCUGUCUCAAAAUAAAAACUACAAAAGGGGCUGGGGAAUAUAGCUAAGUGGUAAGUGCCUCUGGGUUCAAUCCCUAGUACCAUAGGAUUAAAAAAAAAGGCCAAGGUGACCCAGUUAAUAAAUGACACAGCUGGGGUUUGAACCAGCUAUAUGACUAGAGCCUACACUCCUAUGUACCCUCUUCUGCCUUUGUAAUGUGGCCUCUACCUCUACCCUUGCCUUCACCAUGGCAAGAGAAGGAAAGGGCCAGCUGUCACCUGGUGGGGUCAUGAGGAACACAGAAGGCAAAUCAUUUUUCCCAGGGUGGCCCUGAUCCCCCUGUUCUUUUUCACUGUUUUUCACCCAGUUUGCUCUUGGACAAACACUGAGAGUCUGGCCUGUCUGCCUUUGAUUAGCACAGUUGUUGGGACCAGCAGAUGCCUCCAGCUCAGGGACAGGCCAGGCUGCCAGCCUUCUGGGCUGAUGACACUCAGGGGAAGCCUUUCCUCCAGAUGAGCCCCCUUGCUGGCCCCUGGCUGGCUUCCUCCUCCCUCCCUGUCUCUCCGCCUCUAUCUCCCAUUCUCUUGAAUUGCCUCAGGAAAAGGAAAGAAGAACUGUUUUUGUGAAAAGAAGUUUAAUGAAACCAAACACUUGUAUUUCCAACUAUUGACAUUGGACUUGUACUUCUCCAGCUCUGCCGUUCGGGACAAGUCUUUCUCCGCCUCUCUUUGCCCGACGGUGUAAUGCAAACAGACCAUAAAAAAAAUAAACUUUCCCCCCUAAAUAUUAUCUUAGGCCUCAUUUUAUCAUGCUUCCUUCAACUGUUUCUGUGAAAGGGACCAAGAAAAGAAUGUAGGUUUUAGUUUGUGCCGGGCUGGCUGGAGAGGCCCCCUGGUAGGCUCUGCCAGCAGGCACUCUCGGCCUGGGCUUGUGGUUCUCCAUGUCUGUCCCAUGUUCAUCUGUGCCUCCCUGGGCCCUUCACAGCAACUCUCCAUUUGUGUCAUUCAUCUGUAAAGUGGGCUAAUGACAUUUACGUAUAAAGCUGCUCUAAGACCCAGGAGGCGAGUGCAAUGGGGACUUAGGAUACAGGGUGGGUUUAGCACACCAGUGGAUGGGGACUCUGAACUAACUAACUGCAGAGAACAUGUCCCCACCUAAAUACAGUCUCAUCCAGCUUCAAAACACAGCAAGCCAACACACAAGAGGACACUGUGCCGGUGCGCUCACACCAACACCUGCACGCGGGUCUGGGCUUGAGGUGACUUUUCCCCCCAGCCCCAGGAGGAUUAAGUGAGAGAAUGCUUAAAGACCAUUGGGCGGAAAUAAGGACCUUUCCUUCUUGAAGGUGGACUGUGAUGAAGUGGGGAGAAAACCUGAUGAUGCACAGGCCCUGGGGUGACCUCUCAGCAAGUCAGAGGACCCAGCGACUGUGGGAUGGGUUGAUGGAGGCCAUCUUGGCCCUGACAAGAGUUUUGCCAAAUGCUAUAGCAAUUACCUGGAUGUGACAGAGCUUUGAGUCUUGUGGGAAGGGAAUGAUCAAGCAUUUACCCAAAAUUUCCUAAUUUAACUGUACCGCUAGUAAUCAAAUAGUAGAACAGGAUGUGUUGAAUUGGAAUUUCACCAUUCUGAAACCUCAUAUAAAUGAACGGAUCUAUGCAGAAUCUUAAAAUUGAACAUUGGUGAUUAUUCAUAUAUGUGUAUGCAUAUAUAUAUUCAUAUAUAUGAAAGAUGAUUACAUAUAUGAUUCAAUAUAUAUAUAUAUAUAUAUAUACAUAUACAUAUGAAUGAUGAUUACAUACUUUUUGGUGAGCAAAUGUAUCAUCAGUGUUUUGCAAAAAAUAAUCAAACCUGAAUUGGGUCAACCCUAUAGAUCCAAAUAACAAUUUAUAGGAAAUACAGGGGUCAAAGGAACUUAUUGAAAACACCAUGGGGAUUCAAGUAGCAAAAUCUGCACUAUGGGAAAUUCCACAAAUAACCCAACAAAUAAAUUCAUAAAGGAGAAGGGGUAGGGUAGAGGGAGAGUAGAUACAGUAAGGUGACUUACAAACACAUGAAAAGAAAACUAAGCCACAAUGCCAAGUGGUGUGCAUGUGAACUGAUAAUGCUACAAAGACAGGAAGAGGACAUUAUCAUAAGACAAGGUAUAACAUAAAGCAGACCCAGAGUCGGGUGGGACAGGGCACACUGGGAGCUGGGUUCUGUUUCUUAACUUAGGUGGAAAUUACAAGAAUAUUCCCUCUUUCCAACUUAUUGCACUACAAAUCUAUUUUCUGUAUUUGGACUUUUUUUCUUUCUUUUUAAAAAUUUUUUACCAUAUAAAGCUGUUUUGUUUGUUUGAAGUACGUGCCCCUGAUUCUUUUUCUACCCUCCCUCCCACUGACUUGGAGUACUUUUGACUGUCAGCUGCCAAUUUCUGGGUUCUGAAUUCUGCCAGCUGCCCCUCCUCCUUUUCCUAGCUUCUCUCUUAAGUAUAUUGUGUGUCAAUCAGAAUGGGCUAUUACACUACAGAAACAAACAGACUCAACAUCUUAGCGGCUUAAAACAAAGGCUACUUCUUGCUUAUGCUGCAUGUCUAUCAUAUCUCAGCAGGGGGGCUAUCCUCAUCUUAGAUACUCAGAGACCCAGGUUAACAGAGCAGUGGCCUCUUCAGAUGUCCUCAUUUAGCCUAGAACCCAUAUAUGCAACUUCUGCUCACAAUCCAUUGGCCAGGGGGGUGACAUGAAAUUGCCUAACCACAAGGAGGGUGAAAUGCAGUCCUAUAAACUUGCUCAGAAAUAUUUGUUAAGCUACAUUAAUAAAAUGGUUCCUGCUUUGCAUGACAUUGAUAUGCAGGAGCUUCAGUUUAAAUAAUACCACUCCCAACAACCUGGCUCAAAUUUCAGACACCACAGUAUAUUCACUGUAAUUGCAUGAAGUACCACCUCACUGCAAUUUGAACCAGGUUUUUGGGCAUUGGUAUUGUUGAACUGAAACAAAACUCAUGCAUGUCAGUGCCUACAAAGCAAAGAUUGCUUUAUUAACAUUGUUUAGCAAAGGCUUCACUGUCAAUCUGCACAUCACUACAUAAGUAACAGAUGCACAUCAAGGCCUGACAAUCAUGUCACUUCUUUCAAAAUCUGUGAUUGGUUGCUGCACGUCUGUUACUCAUUUCACACACAGACAGCAAAGUGCUGUGUGGUGUUGUUGCUGUCUUGUCUCCCAGUGAUAAACCCAUGUGAGAUUUUACAGAGAUGAAUAAUCAAUGAUAAAAGCUAACAAAAAUUAAAAUGCAACCAUGGAAGUGAUAGUGCUGACAGUGAAAUUGGAUGUGAUUUGAAGAGUUGAAAAUGGUAAUAGUAGAGCAAAGAUAGAAGAAACCUGGAUGGACAUGAAGCUAUGGUACACCAAGCCAUAUUGCAAAAGUCCAAUGAGUAUAAGAAACAAGGUAAAGUGAAUUCAGCUUCAUUUAGUUUAAAUCAUGCUAGGAACAGAAAGCCAUUUGGGGUUGAAAUAGAAUAUUCUCUUCUUUGGAGCCCGGCACUGUAGCACAUGCUUGUAAUCCCAGUGGCUUGGGAGGCUGAGACAGGAGGAUCUCAAAUUCAAAGCCAGAGUCAGCAAAAGAGAGGCGCUAAGCAGCUCAGUGAGACCCUGUCUCUAAAUAAAAUAUAAAAUAGGGAUGGGGUUGUGGCUCAGUGGUCGCAAGAAUGUUCUCUUCUCUGAAUGAAAGACUGGUCUUUAAAAAUUUUAAUUGUUUUGGCCAGUAUUCAGACCAAUGCAUUUAAAUUAUUUGCCACAUUGAGAGAAAAUAGCAAUUAUAAGGAGAUUGAAGAAGAGCCUUGUAAAUGUUGGUUUCAGCAUUUCAGAACCGAGCAUGGUGUGACCGAUGUUAAUACACUGGUAAAGCUUCUAGCACAGUAGCACAGAUAAGACUGCACCCGGAUCCCUGGAAAAUGAAGCAGUUUCAACGGAAGUGAUGUCAGCAGAAAACUUUACCUUAAAGGAGCUCUCACAAAUAUUUUAUGAUGUUGCAAGAACAAGGAAUAAAAUAUCAGAAACGAAUCCAAACUUACAAUAGAGUAUAACAAUCACCAAGGUAUAGAAAAGAUGUGUGUUCUAUAUCAUAUAGAAGCAAGGACUUCUUUUCAAAACUACUUUUUGAUAAGCUUUUUACACAGAAAUAAAACACUUUAAUUAUGUUUCUAAUGUUUUAAGUUACAGUAAAUAAAUAUUAUUUUUACUAAUUUUUCAUUUCCCUAUGCAUUUUAUAACCAUCAGUAAGAGGGUUUUUAAUGUUUUGACAAAACCUUUUAAGGGUCACAGAGCAAUUUUAAUUUUCCCCCUUGAUUAUUAAUUUUCCCCCUUGAUUACUUUGUAUGGUUUCAACUUUCCCAGUCAUUUUUAUGGUGCUAUACUACUGUGCUAAGCAAGGACUGCCUAUAUACAUACCUGGUUUAUGUGGAGUUAGGCUACAAUUUCCUCAAAUCUGUUUGUGCCAACUUAUGUGAAGUAUGAGGAAACUUCUGGGGAAAAAAACAAAAACCUUAAACCAUGUAGGAUUAGGUAGGAAUAUGGAUUCAAGGUAUAGUUUGGAGGCUACUAUUCAACCCCAAUCUGAUCCAACCACCUUAAUGGUCUUAUGUAUGACUCUGUGGGGGAAAAGAGAUUUGUGGAUGAAAUGAGAUCAACUGCACCCAUACAGGCUACCCUUCUGCUGAGGGACCCACUGAAAAGAGUCCGUACUAGACAAAGGCAAUGAAUUUCUUUACUUGCUUCACAGGUGUCACUACUAUAUCAAGCAACAACCAAAAUAGAAACUCAAACCCUGGUCUGGGCUGAGCUGAGCAUCCAUGGGGACUCUUGGGGGUUACAUGGUCCUUGUGGCAAUGGUGAAGUGCCCAAGGUCAUUGAUACCCAAGAGCUGUAGAGCUGGUGGGAGCCACAGCUCUAGGGAGCAGGGAGGAUUGAAACAGGGUUGGAACAGCAGCUUAGAGGUGGGUUGAGCAGAGCUGGGCAAGCAAUUUGAUCCAUUGAGAGUAUGCAGGCUCCCUGGGGUCACUCAGGUGUCCUGGGAGGAAGUAGGGUAGGGCCAGUGGAUAGAGCCCAGCAAGGGAAGUGAGGUUCCCAAGUUAUGCUUAUGGAAAGCUACAAACUCAAGAAAUUCAAUGUGACCACCUUUCCCCCAGUGGCAAUGAGGCCUGGGGACAGGAGGCUGGUUUACAGAAAGGGUGGCUAUAUAAUUUAUUGAUCAAACUGGGAAUAUUUAGAAAGUAAAAGGCAUUGCUAAUUAAACUUUUUAGCUUAAAGUAAUUAAGCCUUUUAGCAAUUAAAAAUCACAAAUGGCAAACCUGGCCACACAAUCACCAGACAUAAUCUAGGUAAUUAUAAAUUUCAGGUGAAAUUAGAAUGAAUAAAAACAAAUUAAUUUGCCCUAACUGGUGUCCCAUGCCACGUUCCCUGGAAGUGAACUUUGAGAUGGAGAUAGGGUGCAAGACACUUAUUAGGGUGCGCUCCCAGACCCACACCUAUGGAACGGAAGGGAAGGGAAGAAAGAGGGUUUGGGUAGUGGGGAGCAGCUGAAGUCUCAUCCAUGAAGCCAUAAAGUCUCAUCAAGGGCUUCAGAUGACCUCAGGGAACUCUGGGGCUGGACAACCUUCAGAAUUGUCCCAAGUUGGGUGAGGGGGACAGGUCUUUGAUCGCUACAUCCACCAGCCAUUGGAUUUAGCUGUCCCCAAGAGCUCUCUCCAGCUGAGUGCAGAUUUCUAGAAUGUGCCAACAGCAGGAAGCACUCCUAGCAUCCCUGAAGGAGGGGGGACGGUCAAGGUGGCAUGUCAGAGCUUCCACUACCGUACAUGAGAGGAGAGCUUGAAUUAAAAGUACUACCAAGAUAGGCACCUUAGAGUUAGUCACCAGUCAUGUCUUGUUGGAGACCCUGCUGCAACUGUUUCAAAGAGCAGAGAGCCAAUGAAGUUAGCAUACUAAAUGCAUGCAAACAAUAUUAUCAAAAAGGGCAAUUUAGUCUCUCAAAUCAAUAAAAUAGCAUCAGUCUUCUUGAGGCUGCUUAUAAAAAUUUUUCUCUAGGUAAAUUUCUACUCAACUCCAUUUGAUAAUGCUUUUAUUUAAGACACCUGCAUCUGGGCACAGUUGGAGCACUGUGAGAAUAUAAACCCAUUUAUUCUCAUCACAAAACUAUGAAGUGGGCCCAACAGUCAAGAAUACAGAGACCUCCCAAGGCUAGACACUGUGCUCAAAUGGAAGUGCCAACAUUGGAUCCAAAUAUCAUGUCUGCAGAUACUCUGCUUUUAACCAUUACGUAUGCUGUUCUCUAGCCUUCCAUUUAAUUUAGUCGGUACUUUAUCAUUGCAGUGAAACUUAACAAGCAUUUAUUAAGCUCCUAUCAGUUGAGUCCAUGCUCAAUACUUAAAGAAAACAAAAAUCUCUUCUCUGGGGUGAAGAAGAAGAGUAAAAUGAUGAUGAUGGUGAUGAUGACAAGGACAGUGGCAGUGACAACAGCAAUAUCUAAAGCUUUUAGUAGGAGCUUUCAUUAUGUACUAGGCUCUGUCCUGACAGCCUUCCAUGCCUCAUGUCCUUUAACCACACAGAAGGCUCAAUGCCUGGUCCUAAGGAGAUUCUGAUCUACUGAGAAGCUAAACAGCUACAUGACUGCACAUGACACGUGAUUAAAGGCCCAGAUGUGUAGGACAGGCUGUCACUGGACAGACUGGUCAGAGAAGCACAGGCUGGAUUUAGUUAGAUCCAAGGAACUUGGAUCCUGAAGAAAUUAUAGAGACUCCUUUCUUAACUAAAAAAUAAGCAAUACUAUAAACAAUAAAAUAAGAGCCAAGAAGUACCAGAAAGUUCAUAUUUUUCCCAUUACGAUUAUCUCAGUACUUUUAAAAGAAAAUUUCUAAAAACAAGUUCUUUCCAAACAAUGCUUUUAGUUGCCCAUGCUCUGCUUGUGCUAAAUCCAGUGGGGUCAGCAGGUAGCACAGGCCUGGAGAAAGACCAGUUUAUUAUGAACCUGUACAGUCAGAAAGUGCCACGGGUCUUGAAGAUGGUAGGAUAAGACAGCAGGGAGAAGAGGAAAGGGUGUUCCCAGAUGGAGAAGCAAUGGGGAGCCAAGAACACUGGCCUUGCUGGAGCUCACUCUGUGUUGCGCAAAAGAGAAACUAGGUGGGGCAAGUGGAUUGGGUCCAUAUUUUAAAGGCCUUGAAUUCUUGGUCAUUAUAGGUUGGCAUAAUUUCCAUAAGUCAUGGGGAUCUGUGAAAGAUGACUGCAAUAUUGUCCCUAUCAUUGUCUCCUUCCCUAAAUCUGAAUGGCAAGCAGCUAAGGUGCUCAAAGCCUUCUUGAGCAGAAGCUCCAAGCACAGAGCCCUGGGAUCCCUGGCCACCCUGGUGGCAGCUUGCCUGUGCUGUAAACACCCGAAGCAUUCCUCAUGGCCCAGCUGCCCUGCCAAAGGGCUUCACCUGUCAGCAAGAGGUUCCUGAUGGCUGCCCAAAGAUGGGUGCUGACCCUAAGGGACUCUAGGCUUUUCCUUGCCCGGCUGCUCAGUGGUUCUCUGCUCUUGCAAAGAGCAGAGAAUUCAUCAGGUAGAAGGGCUCCAGCCAUGUAGGUUUCAUAUUUCCCUCCAUCCUCUGCUGAACUGUUAAGGCAUUUUAUUCCACAAGCAUAUCACAAACCUGAUCUUACCACUGCUCUGACCUGAAGCUUGCAGGGGCAGAAGAUGAGAUCAGUGUUACUGUGGUGCCAUGGAAGAGAAGGCCCAGGGCUCAGCUGUAGCAUCAAGUACUGCAGGCAGACCCAGCUUCCUAUGGCUACUUACCUCCGGCUCUUUCUCCCAGGGACCAUGGGAGUACAGGGAGAUGCUUCACAGCUUCCCCCUCUGUCGAGUCAUCUCAGCUGUUGUCCCAAAUAGCUGCCAACAUUCCAGGUUACUGGUUGCAUUUUUUUUUUUCUGAAGAAACAUUUCAAACAUUGUUUUUCCACCUCUUCUUAAUGCAGUCAGGUUGAAGCCUCUGGCUCUUCUUUUUGGUAGAAUAAAAUAUCCCACCCGACCUGGCUAAUUUCGGGAUGGAAAUGUUUGGGGAGCUCUUGGCCAGGCACUGGUAAGAAGAGCAUGCAACUGGCUCUGAAACCCUGGGGAACUGGCUCCUGACCACCUGCAGGCCUGCUCCUGUGUGCUUUUGUCCAGACUGAAGUUUUCUUUCCCUGGCUUUGGUUCCCUGCUGAUUUCACACUAUGUUCUUGUCUCUUAAACCUGGCCCAGCCCCUUCCAGGAAACUCCUGUAGGCCACAGUACUCUGUCCCCUGCUUGUAUGGCUGUCUCACUGCAUGGCACAGCCCAGGAGUUAGCUAGCCACUGUCACUGCUUAGCUAUGAGCCAAAUGGGUGAGCCAAGGCCUUUCCCCAGGAUGCUGAUCUAGUAUCAGUAUCAAGAUAGAAAAUCUGUAUUUACUGGGUUUGUUCCUGACCUUGGGCUCUUGGAUACAGAGCUGCAGAAAUGCACAAUGAACCUGGAAAUAAUUUAAACCCAGGCGAGGCUUGACUGAGGACUUCUGCUUGAGCCAGAAGAGAAACGGCACCUGGGGGGCAGAAGGCACCUGGGGGACAGAGAUCCCACAAAGAACAAAGAGCAAGAGCUCUGAUGGCAUCUGCUGGAUAGGCAGGGGCAACACUCUCAAGUCCCACUUGUGAAGUCAUCACAGGUAGAGGUGGGACUUGAGUCCUGCCUGUGCUCUUCUUCCUCAGGCUUCCCCAUGAAUAGUGUUUCAUGACCAUCUUAGGUCUCCACCUAAGGUGUGUGCUUUACUAUGCUGAUAAGGUCAAGGUAACUGUGGAUAACUUUGGUGACUAUUCUACACAGGCAUUUGCCCCUCACCACCUGGACUUGCUCCUCUCACCUGGCAAUGUCUCUAAUAUUAUUAUUUCCAGAGCUGGCAUUUCUGUUGACCACAGAGCCUCAGAAGGCUGAGCCUGUGUGUCCUGGUGAGUUACAUCCCUCUCAUAGCCUCAGACACUCCUCAUUGACUCCUCAUUUGCUAGGAUAGCUACUCACCUAGUAGGACUGAGAGCUAGCCUUGCUGACUUAUUUCCCCUUGAAAGGUGCUCUUCCCUUAGUCCCAAGAGUCCUGUUUCUCCUGGGGGGAGAGGGUGAUUCCUGACUGUGUCACGUUCUCAGAGAAUGAAGGGCAACCAGCAAGCUUCCUUCUGUCUCAUGGGAGGCUGAGUGGGACAGGGAGAGACCCUGGAGUCAGACACCCUUCAACAGAGAGUUAGUUGCUCCACAUAUUUUUUAGGGGUUUGCAAAUUUGGUCCACAGCCAAACUGGUCAAACAGAGGAGAGCCUGGGAUACUUCUCCUUCACCAGGCAAAGCUCAACCUGACCUUUCAAUUUGUGUGCCCAAAAUUGUUUGAGCACUUCUUAGUCUAUUCAGGAUGUUAUAACAAAAUGCCACAAAAAGGUGGCUUAUGAACAACACACUUAUUUCUCAUAGUCUUGGAGGCUGGGAGUCCAAGGUCAAGGAAUCGGUAUGUUUGGUGUCUGAUGUGGACCAGCCUUUUUGGUUCAUAGAGCCUUCUCCAUGUGUCCUCACAUGGUGAAAGGGGCAAGGGAUCUUUCUCAGGCCUCUUCUAUAAGGGCACUAAUCCCCUGGAUGAGAGUUUGGCCCUCAUGACUGUCCCCCAUGACCCACCUCCUAACCCCAACACCUGGGAUUUCCAGCAUAUGAAUUUUGUGAGGGUGCACUCAGACCAUGAUAGAAACCAAACGUGAGACUGAUCUGUCACUCACAGUUCUCCAACUAACCUGGUGGCUUUUGUAAGGAUUCUUAAUCGAUAUUUUUUAAAUAAACAAAUGCACAGAGAAAAAUCAAGUGAAGUAGUUGAGCUUUCCUUUCCAGGAGGUAAAUGAUCAAAAGACAUUGUUCUUGUGGAACUCUCUGUUGGUUGAAAGGGAAGAAACUGCACCUGGGAGUUUAUGUUCGCUCUCCUUCCUAGUCACAGUGCAUCCAGGGACAGCAUCAGCGGUGCUUGGAAGCUUGUUAAAAGUGUGGAGUCCCAACCCCACCUGCAGUAGAGCCUGGAUUUCAAAGAGAUUUGUGUGUGCUGCUGUAUAAAACACAGGGAAGAUAAUCCAAAGGCCUAGUGUCUGGAGUUUGGAACUACGAAUAAAUGCCCAAUGGGAAUAAUGAUAUCCACAAACCAUCUCUCAAGCCAUGAGUGUUUAUCGAAAUCCACUAUGUACCUAGUCCUGAGUCAGGCACUGCAGGAAAGAAUCAGAGACAGUCAAGGAGUCAGGGCCCACGCUGCCUUAGUUGCAGCCCUUACUGGGGGGAGCCAGCUCUUGCCUAACUGCAUUCACUGCAGCGCAACCCCUGGGGUGACACCAGUCACAUGGGCAGCCCUUGUUUUCAGCAUUAACCAGUCAUCGAGAUUGAGCUAGCAAAUCUUCAGGGAAGACAGACCAGUCAUAACCUCCAUCAUAACAUUUUUCUUUGGCGAUGAAGCAUUGCUGAGACUGUUGAAAGCUCAUUCAGUGUUGCUAAAGCUCAAGCAUUCAGGCCUUCCCCAGGUCCAGGGGUCUGGUGGGAGUGGGGGUAGGGGGUGUGGCUCAGUGGUAGAGUAACUUAGUGGUUUGGACUGAUUUGUCCAAUUAGCCCAGAGGCACAGCUGUGCUGUUGAGGUCUUGCUCCCUGCACCAUUAUCUUGCAAGUGAAGUUGUUCUAGAAUUCUGUGCAUAAAACUGCAGAUUCUGGAAUCAGAUUGCUCUAGGCUCUGACAUUUGCUGGCUGUGUGACCUUGUGUAAGCUUCAAUUUACAUUGCUUCCUGCUUAAUUUGGAUGAAGUCCAAUUUAUCUUUUUUUUUUUUUGGAUUGUGUUUUUGGUGUUGUCUUUAAGAAACCUUUGCCAAGGUCAUAAAAAUUGUCUCCUACGCUUCUAUCUAAAUUUUGUAUACUCUAUGAUCCAUUUUUAGAUCUAUGAUACAUUUUUAGUUUUGAAUAUGCUACAAGAUAGGGAGAGUCAAGGGAGGGUUUUUUUCUUUUUUCUCUUCUCUCCCUUCCAUCUUUCCUUUCCUUUCUCUUCCCUUCCCUUCCCUCUCCUUCUCCUUCACCUUCCCCUCCUCCUUCACCUUCCCCUCCUCCUCCCCCUCCUCCUCCUUCCUUUCCUCUUCCUCCUUUUUUUGCAUAAGGAUAUGUAAUUGUCUCAGUACCAUUUAUUGAAAAGACCAUACUUUCUCCAUUGAAUUGCCCCCGGCCUUUGUUGAAAAUCAAUCAACUGUGUAUUUGUGCAUUUAUUUGUGAACUCUGUUGUACCAGUCUAUAUGUUUGUCCUUCAGCCAUUAUCACAUUGUCUUGAUUACAGUAGGUUUAUAGCAAGCCUUGGGUAGUAGAGGACUACUGACAUAUUGGCAAUCCUGGGCCAUUUAUACUUUCAUACACAUUGUAUAAUUAACUUGCUAAUUGCUACCAAAAGAGCCUGCUGAAAAAUUUCAGUUAGAUUUAUAGAUAAAUAUGGGGAGAACCAACAUCUUGACAGCAUGGAGUCUUCUAAUCCAUCAGUAAAGUAUAUAUUUCUAUAAUUUAUGUCUUCUUUAAAUUAUCUCAGCAGAGUAUUCUGUAGUUUUCAGUGUAUAGGUCUCGUACAUCUUUUGUUGAAUUUGUAAGUAUUUUCAUCAUGUUUGUAAAUUAAUUUUUUCAAUUUUAUUUGUUGCAAAUCUAAAAAAUAUAUAAUUAUUUUUAUAUAACCUUGUAACAUGUGAUCUUUCUAAGUAGUUUUGUAGAAUCUUUAGAAUUUUCUAAGAAAUUAUGUCAUCUACAGAUAGAGAUGGCGAUUCUUCUUCUUCUUCUUCUCCUUCUCCUUCUCCUUCUCCUUCUCCUUCUCCUUCUUCUUCUUCUUCUUCUUCAUUUUUAAAACCUUUGUUUCUUUUUCUUACUUUAGUACAAUGACUAGGGCCCCCAGUACAAUGUUGAAUGGAAGUGAUGAGAGUGGGUAUGCUUGCCUUAUUUUCAAACUUCAGAGGCAAAUUGCAGUGUUCAAUAGUUGUUCAUUAAAGAUGCCCUUCAUCAUACCGACAAAGAUCUUUGCUAGAUUGUUGGCAGUUUUUAUCAUAAAUAUAUGUCAUGUUUUGUCAAAUGCUUUUUCUGCAUUUAUUGAAAUAAUUGCAUGAUUUUUCUCCUCAUUCUGUAAAUGGACUAAAAUAUAUUGAUUUUUUAAAUAUUAAAUCAACCUUACAUUCCUGGGAUAAACACUCCUUGAUCAUGAUAUGAUUGAUCAUUCUUUUUUAUAUAUUGUUGAAUUUAAUCUGAUAAUAUUUUGAUAAGGAUUUUGUAUCUAUGUUCUUGAGGGAUGUUGGUCUGUGAUAGUCCUUAAUAAUGUCUGUCAUGUUAGAAUUUUGAUGGAACCAUAAAUCAAAUUGGAACGUAUAUCCUGGUAUCCUUUAUCUUUGGAAAGAGUUUGAUAUUAUUACUUCUUUGAACGUUGGAUAAAAUAUAUCGUGAAAAUACCUACGGUUUAGAAUUUAGUUUUCCUGUUUCAGAUUGUUGUAAAUAUUACCAUAUAUGUGUAUAUGUAUAGAUAUAUAAAAUGUUUCUGUUUUAAUCAAUUUUAAAGGAAUAACUGUUAUAAUUUCUUUAGAACAUUCUUAAGUUCUCUUUUAUUAUUUUGAGGACUGUAAAAUCUGCAAUGAUAUCUUCUCUUUUCUAAUAUAAGAAUCCAAGCCAUAGGGGCUGGGGUUAUGGCUCAGUGGUAGAGUGCUCACCUAGCAAGGGCGAGGCCCUGGGUUCAAUUCCCAGCACCACAUAAAAAUAAAUAAAGAUAUUGUGUUCAACUACAACUAAAAAAUAAAUAUUAAAAAAAGAAUCCAAGCCAUAAAAUUCUCUUUAACCAGUUUUAGCUGCAUUGCACAAUUUUUGUUGUGCUUUAACCAUUAUUAAGUUUUAAAUAUUUUAAAACUUUGUGUUUCUUUUUCUUUCACUCAUGGGUUGCUUACAAGAGUGUGUUUUAUUUACCAAUAUUGGAUUUUCCUUACAUAUUUUAUUUUAAUUGAAAAGAGGAUAUUCAAAUAUAUCUCUGUAAUUGUACAUUUUCUGUUCCUUCUUUUUUUUCUAGAGACCUUUUCUAUCUCAAGUAUCUAAUUUAUUAAAGCCUUUCACGAUUUAAUACAUUGAAGCAUUAAACACCCAGUAAAGUGCCCAGCAUAUUGUUUUCACAGAAUGUAUGCCACUAUUAUUUCAAUCCUUUCCCAUUAGGACCUAUAGCUUGGGAUCUGGUCUCUCUUGGUAUAGUUGUGAAAUUGAAAAUAAUGCAUAUGCUUCACUUGCUAGUUAUAGUGUUCUAUACAUACCAGUUCAGUUAAGGUGUUGAUAAAGUUGCAGAGAUCUUCUACCACUUGAUUAAUUAUUUUGUACUGUAUUCUACCAAAUGCAUAGAAAGGGCAUUCAAAUAUCCUACUAUAAUCAUAAUGUUUUUUUCUUAGCCUUUUAUUCUGACAACUUUGCUUGAUGUAGCUUCCUUAGGCACAUACACAUUAAUGAUUACUGUCUUUUUCAUUAAUUGGAUCUUUAUAUUUAAAAAUAUAAUUGGUCAGCAUAUAAUUGGUCUUGCUUUUUUUAAAAAAAAAAUCUGUUCUAGUGAUCUCUGUCCUUUAAUUGGAAUAUUUUUCUCAUUUACAUUUAAUGUAAUUAUUGCUAUUAUUAUAUUAUUAUUAUAUUUAUUUUCUGUUGUAUACUCUGGUUGUAUUUUCUCUGAUCUCCCUUUCCUGCAUUCUUUUGGACUGUUACAUAUAUUUUAUGAUAUUUCUUUAACUUUUUCAAUAGAUUUUUAGCUGUCCCACUUUGCUUUACUUUUUAAAUGGUCAUUUUGGUGAUUACAACAAACAUCCUUAGAUUUUUCACAGUGUGUUUAGAAUUAGUAUUGUAUUUUGUUACAUAAAAUGCAGAAACCUUGAAACAGUAUUAGUGGGUUAUCUGCUCCCACACUGUGAGUCCACAGCCCUUUGAAGCAACAUCACCCUAUGUAUAAUGCAUCAUUUUCUGUGACUACCUGCAAGAUUUUCUUUUUCUUUCUUUUUUUUAAAUAACUUUAUUUAUUCAUUUUUUAAAAUGCGGAGCUGAGGAUUGAACCCAGUGACCCACACAUGCUAGGCAAUCACUCUACCACUGAACCAUACCCCAGCCCCAAGAUUUUCUCAUCUUUAGUUUUUGACAGUUUAAUUAUAAUGUACCUAGAUGUUAUUUUAGUCAUAAUUGUCCUAUUUGGGAUUCACUGUGAUUCUGGACUUUCUCUUUCAACAAAUUUGGGAAUUUUUCAGCCAGUGUUUUCUCAAAAAUAUUUUCUGCCCUGUUAUUUUUGUCUUCUCCAUCUGGAACUUGAAUUAACUACAUAAAUUUGAAUAUUAUCCCACAUAUACCUAAAUCUUUUUUUUUCAAUCUUUUUUCUCACCUGUCUUCAGAUUAGAUAAUUUCUAUCAAUCAAUCUUCCAGUUCACUUGUCAGUCGUUCACUAAGAGGAGGUAUAUCUACCAGGUCUGUUUUAUAUUUAAGCUUGAGGCUACAGCUUAGGUUUUAAAGUACAUCAAACAUCCACAAGGAUAGGUUUAUUAAUAUUAUUAUCUCAAAUGCAACAUGUUUAAAAACCUGUUCUCAUCUUGACUGCUCUUUUAAUGCAAGUGAUAUAGUAGGUUCUCAAUGACUAUAUGUCAAUAAAUGGCUAUUAGCAACAGUUGUGUUAGAAGAAUCACAGGAGGGGAGAGAGAGCCCUGUUGGAAGGGGACAUCCCAGUUGCCACUAGCCCACCUGAAAGGAAGCUCCUCAUGAUCUUGCUAUAGGUUAUGCUUCUCCUUUGUGAGGAACAGCUUUGCCUGUGAGAAUGAUGCUUUGGGUAAGACAUCUAGCUCCCCUGUUCCCAGGAACACUCUGCUCUGCACACUUCUGAGGUAGGACUUCCACACUCCCCAGCAGGCCACUGUCAGGCAUGCUCAGUCCACCCUCCCCUCCUGGUGCCUAGAAGGCCGCAGGAUGGGUCUGAAGAGCUUGUCUGCUCCAUCCACUUUGCCAGCCUAACCCCUAGGAGAGGAAACCUGUUUUGUGAGAAUUUACUUCUCAAUCUUGAAGAUGAAAAUAAGAGAAAAGAAGUCAUGCUUGGAUAAUUUAUCAAGUUGCUUUAUUAAAAAAAAAAUUGCUGUGUCUGAAACUAAGUUGGAAGUCUCCAAGUCUCCUGCCUGAAAUUCAGGCCAGGAUAUAUCAUAUAAUUAGAAAAUAUACACUUCACAGGGGUUGGAAGCGAGGGAGAGUGCCUUCACUCAUCACAGGCACUGGAUAGGGAGGGACAUCGGCGGAAGCACAGGGUGUCAGCGGGCUCUUUUGGUGGGUUGUGUUGCUCAGAAAAUCUAUAGCAUGUAGCCAGUGGAAAUUCUUUUAGUAACAUACAUGAACCCAUCUAACCCUCUCUCCCCCUUGCUCUUUCUUCUCUCAUCUCUCUCUGCUGGGUCAGAGUGGGGUGUCACCUUCUCAGCCCCCUGCGGGCUUGUUUGUAGUGCUUUGCGAUUUUCUCUGCUGGUGCACUUGUGACAACAGGAUGGGGAAACCACUCUACUCUGGGUCUACUUUGGGGCUCCCUCAGUUUGCAGGGCUCCAUUUAAAAGCCAAUUCUUUUAGAAUAUUAAAAUGUGACUCAAAGGCCUCUCCCCAGCUUCCCCGUCCUGUUUCCUUUUGCCCUCUUUCCUCUUAUCUAAGCAAAACCUAUGGGUAAAGAGUCUGCUGCCUGGAGUGGUAAGUUUCUCUGUUCCUGAAUGUUUUUUCCUGCUUCAGACUCCCCAGGUCUUUGGCAUGAAGAGCACGUGUCAAGAACAGAACAGGGCAGCUGGGUCAGAGUGGUACCAUUUCCAAGCCACCAGGACCAUGUGGCUGCUCAGACUUCACUCCUAGGGAGUCUCAGAGCAGUGUAGACAAUGAUGUAGGUCCCCCCCGCCCCCACAAGGGGCUGCAGAGGUCUGGAGACCCUUCUGAAAUAGGCCAGGAAGCCCUCCUUGGGUCUCACCCUGGGAAGCAAGGACACAGGCAAACUCAUCACUGUGUCAAUGUCACAAAAGUCUGCUACUGUGCAUAAAUCAGUUGCAACAGCUAAAAAACGAACUUUCAGUAGAAGAGCCUCCACUUCCUGGUCCUCACUCCCUCCAGGCAGAUGAUCAAAUGAUGCCUCUGAAAUCUUAGAAAUUCAUAUCGUCACUAGGGAAAUUAAAAUAAUAAUAAUAAAAAAAGAUCUUCUCUUUCCAGAUCCCUCCUCUGUGUGACUGCAUGAGGACAUGUCUGUAAGAAAUUGUGGGUAGAUAUCUCAGACGGGGGUGGGGAAAAAGUCCUUUAAAUGGACAAAUCAGUCCAAACCACUAAGUUAUAACUCUUUCCCCCCCCCUUUCCAACAGAAUAGUAAAACAGAUCCGUUAUUGGCAACCCCAUUAGUGCUAAGGAGAGGUGGCCUCCAACAUGACAUCAGCCCACCGCUUGACCCAAAUCUAGUAUUUCACCACAGCCUUCCCCGGCCAGCUUUCCAACUGUGUAGAAGACAUUCACGGGGGAGAAGGGAAGAAGGCAUAAAUAAGAUACAGAUUGGGGACUUUUUGAUGUGUUUAGCACAUUUUUGUGACUUCCUUUAAUACCACGGUCCCUGCAUUCUUCCACCAUUAGGAGAACAAAAGACAAGCCUGAGAUGGGGGUGGAUGGUGGAUGGGCAGCAAAGCCAUUCAAUAAAAUGUUCUGUUCGCCUCGUUAGCGUUUUUUAAUUCCAAUGUGUAAAAAGGGAGGCAAAAAUGGAAAGAGAAGAAUGGAUACUCCUGCCCCGUAACUUCAGAUAUAAAAAGUCCCUUCAUUAAAUCAGUUGUUUUUUAAUCCAUAAUUGAACUUAAAUAAAGAGUGACCUAUGGGCAGCUGUUUCUAAUAUCGAGUCCCCACUGCACAUGAAAGACGCAUUUAUUCCUCCCUACCCUUGGGUGUUAUCAGCUGAACAUGUUUUGAACCUACCUAAUGCAUUUGAGGUAGCUUGGGUUUAUUUUUCUUUCAAUAAAAUAAAUGGUUUUGUAAUUAAAUUUCUGCACUGCCUGUGCUUAAUGGUUACAUUGACAAGUGCUAAUGUAUGGCAAGAGAAUGAGUUUGAAAUGAAACAUGCUGUUUUCGAAUCUGCAAGCAAUUUUGCAGUGGGGCAAUCAAACCCCUCGUGCCAGGGAAACAUUUUCAUUAAUCUGCUCAGUGCGCCCCUGCCCACUUGGCCGGACGCGGGAGGACACUUUUUAGCAACCCCAAUGCCCACCCCCAACCCUUGCCUUUUUUUAAGAAAAAAACUCUCUCUCUCUCUCUCUCUCUCUCUCUCUCUUACACACUCACACACAAAUAUCAUGAAGGAGCCGUUGUUUAAAACCGUUCUGUGGUCUCUGGCAGGCGGGCCUGUGGAAAUUCGCUGACUUUCCACCUGAAAAGUUGCAGCUGUCCCCCUCCAAAGGGACUGGCUGCCUCAGUGUUUCAAUCCCUGGCAUCCAAUCAACAAGAAAGUCUGUCCCUCUGUCUUCCUUUUUCUUUUCUUUUUAAACUUUUUCCCCUUAACUAAAUUUAUUUUUUAAUAAAUCUUCUCAUAGAAAAUAGAGAACGGCUAUUACCUAUCUGAACUUGCCCUGUGCAAACCACUUCAAGCCAUGGCAAAGAAGGCGGUGGCCUUCUAGAAGGGUCAUGAGUGGGAACCUGGAUUGGCCCAUGUGAUCUGCUGGCUCCACUUCCACCCGCAGCCAGGAAAGGGGCCCCCCCGUGCAGGUACAGGCCUGAGGCCGGAGGUUCUGUCCCUUCUCUGAAGGCCUCUUUCAUCUGACCACUGGAGCGAUGGCUUCCCAGCUGGCAGCGGCUCUGGAGCCUGCUGGGCCCCGCAUCAAAGACCAAGAGUGGGUACGAGGCCCACAAGCUGUCUGGGGCCUGUGGAGCUGCAGGGCAACGGGAGCCGCUGAUUCCGCAGCUGCCCACAGGGUGUGCGACUCAGCAUUUUCUCCCCAGGCUGGUGGAGAGGAGCCAGAGGGCCACUGCAUGAAUGCUGACUCACUCCAUCCAGGCUGGCCAGACUCAAGCUGUCCUACCCAACUUGGCCCUCUCUAGCUGUGUCCGGGACAGGGCUUAGGGAAAGGUCUGACCUCCCUGGAUUUAUGGCAGUGGAAGACAGAAGAGUCUACUGCUCAUGGGACUCCAGGAACAUGAGGAAGGGUCUCAAAUCUUCAGAACCCUCCUGCCCGUAUCUUAAGUCCAUUGCCUUUAGGGGGACACAGCCUUUCAUUUCCUCAGUAGAGAAGAGGGCUUGGAAGCACAAGACCUUGGGAAGGAGGUAUGGGGAAGGGGAUCACCACUGAGAUGUCCAUGGAGGGCCAAGGCCAAGCCUGCCAUGACAAGGAGAGGGAAGGAACUGGAGGUAACUGGUGUCUGAACGGCAGCGAGGAGAUCUUAGAAGGGGUGAGGGCAAGGAAAUGGGGGACAAGUGUUAGAGCCAACAGACACCUUCCCAGUGGCCCAUGAAGAAAUAGAAAGAUCAUUGAUGAGGUGACAGCUAGGAGACUCAUGGAAUAAGUGAAGACUUAACCUUGUCCAGGAUAAAGGGGUCCAGAAGCCCAUGUCCCAGAAGAAAAAUAAAAAGACAAUGAGGAAGCGAAGGAGGAAGGCCCCUGGUGUGGGCCUUGGCUGAGUCUGGGCUGGGUCCUGACGAAACUAAGAUAUGAUUAUGUGAAAGUUGCCAUCUGCACCCAGCCCUCCCAUAAUGCCACAGUAGCUCCUCCCACGACAGGGGAACACUUCACUCACUCCUUCAGCAAGUGAUGAGUUCUCACUGUGUGCUCUCCUGUCGCUAGGCCCAGCAGGUCCAGGCACAGGCCGCCCUCCCGAGGCUGGAUGAUGUGUGUGGUGGAGUUCCACACAAAAUGCUACAAGCCUUCAGAGGAGGGAUGGGGCUACACCAAGAAGAUCAGGGGAAAGCUUCGUGGGAGAGGUGAGCCUUGAAAGAUGAGUAGGAUUUCAAAAGGGGAGACGGAGGUUCCAAGGUAAGGCAUCAGCACAACAUGGAGGUGGGAUGGUAAAAGUUGUCUCCAGAGAAUAAUGAGUGGUCCCAAAGGAAUGGAGGAUACUGUGUGUGUGUGUGUGUGUGUGUGAGAGAGUGUGUGUGAGAGAGAGAGAGAGAGAGAGAGAGUGUGUGUGUGUGUGUGUGUGUUGGCAGGGAUGGGAAAAUGAUGGGAGAUGAAAUUAAAGGGUUAAGAUAGGGCCACAGUGAGGGCCACAGUGAGGGCAGAAGCUACAGAAGCCAUGCUUUACUUUGCAAGCCACAGGCACCCCUUAAAGAUAUGGGACCUGGGGUGUGGGUGAGGGAGUGGUGCUGUGACCCACUGGUGUAUUCAUUAACAGACCCUGUGAGCCAUAUAUCAGGACAGAUGGGGAAGGAGAUACUGGAGGUGGCAGACCAGAGGCAACUGCCAUGGCCCAGGCCAGAGAGGAAGAGAGCCGCAAGGCAAGAGGCAGGGUGCUGGAGACAGGGCUGGGUGCUGGACAGCAAGUCAGAGUGGUGGGAGGGGACAGCCAGUAGUCUACCUGCAGGGCGCCUGGAAAGAUGACCAUGGCCGUGACAGAGACGGGGAACUCCAAGAGAGAAGUGGGUCUGGGGGAGGGAGGAAAAAAACAUGCCAGUUCCCACUGGACACGUGAUUUUUUGUUCCUGGGAGUGACUUUCAAUGGGGACAGUGAAGGGAGAAAUGGACCCAAAUGAGAGGAGUCAAUGCGACAGACAAAAGGGAACAGUGGAAUUUGGGGAUGAGCCAAGAAAAGGGAGGAGAGUCCCCAAAAGAAGACUGCAACACAAUUGUGUUUCAAGGAGACCCAAGAAGAGGACCUGGUGAGCUGCUGGGCUCAGCUGCGUGGGAUGAUGCUCAUCCCUGGGAACAGUCUAGGGGAAGGGGACGUGGGGACUGUGAGAGGCAGAGGCAGCACGAGGGGAUGUUGGACAUGGCUUUCAGGGAAUGGCACAGUGAUGCAUGCAAGAAAAGUAUUCCUGGGUGACAGGCCCUUGGCCCAUAGUCAAGCAGGUAUCAAUAGUGAGGGCAAAGGACCCCAGAAAGGGGCCUCUCUGAUGGAGCAAAGUCAUGGGAAAGGCAGAAAGAAUUGGAGAGUUGGCCUUGGAGUGGAAAGAAGGGGUGAUGGGCCAGAGAACCACUGAGGCAAAGGCGAGGGGAGGUGGGCGCAACGGUGGCCCCUCAGGAGAGCACAGUGAGACCGUGUGCUGAGGGUGAGGGUCGAGGAAGGCCAUGGAAGAAUGGGUGGGGGGUAGGGGUGCGCUUGGAGAUGUGAGGCAGGCAGGAAAAGGGAUGGGAAGUCAAGCAGGAGUGAAUUACAGGGCGUCAGCACUGAGAAUCCUGCUGAAGUUGGGAGCCUCACUCCUCUGCCGCCUGCCUGGUCACGACAUGGCGCCAGCCUUUCGUGUCAAUCUGGAAGCAGAGACAGAGCCGAGAAGAUGGUGGUGGGAUUACUGUGACAGUAAGGUCACAGUGGAUGGCACUGUGGCUACCAUGGGAAGCUGGAGGCAAAAGACCCAAGGGGCCAACCUGGGAGAAACUGGUUGUUGAUAUGUAUGAGCUUCAUCUUUAAGACCUGUGCAGCCUUGACUUGGACUGGAAUUUGAAGACUAAAUUUGAAAGUUAAAAAAAAAAAAAAUCUGCCAGAAAGAAUUGUAAACAAGGAGUCAGAAAAACAGCUCCCUCUUCUGCUUCUCCUCCUCCCCCUUGGCUUUCCUGUGCUGUGUGAUCCGGGCCACAGCCCCAAACUCUUCACAUCUUUACGCCUGUCCUCCUUCCUUGGGGACACAUUCUGGUGAUGUACCAGCUUCCUGGAAUGAAGAUGGUGUUUAAAGAAAAGUGACCCCUCCCCCACUGGUUUGGUUCUACAGAAUUCUUUAGUUCUUGCCUUCUCCUUACAGCAGUAAAACCAAACAAAACCAAUUUAGCUGAAACCUCAUUGGUCUUUUGACAUGUUCUUGAUGUUCAGCAGGGUUGUCAAAGCUAAAAGAAGCUGAACAAAUUCGACCCGGUUUAGUUUUGGAAGUUAAACAACAUCAGACCCGCCAUCAGGUCUGCAUUCUCCGUGUGGGUGGAGAAUCCUGGCAUCAGGUAAAGCUGCUUACUCUUUAGUGAGCAGAGCGUCCUAGCCCCUGUGAGUGGAGAAAGUGUCACAGCAGGGGUGCCAUCCACUGUGACCUUACUGUCAAGAAGUAGGGAUUCCAAAGGUGCUGUUCUUCCUCAUCCCCUUUAAGCAUCUCCAUCCUCCCCAAAGUCCUGGUAGCCACUCUUGGUGUCCUAGUCACUGUAAGUUCAUUUGCUAUGGUGCCAGCAGGUCACAGUGGGACCAAGAGGGUCAGAGCCCAGGAAAGGCCUCCAUGGGUCAGUAGCUCCAGGUUCUGUCUGGUCUAGCAUCUCAUGACCACCAAGACACACAGGCAUGUCUUAGGAGGGGACUAUGACCAGCAUCCUCCACAACCUUGGAAGGCCGAACAUGGACGGGACAUCUACAGAAAUGGCUACCUCCAUUUACCCAGGGAAGCAGCUGUGACAAUAUACCCAACAUUCCAGCAAGCUCUUUGUAUUUUCCAUCAGGGCCAUAUCUAGAAACAGUGCAUUUCAUAAUUUGAUUUUCCACUGUCUCUAACAGACACAGCUUUCUCUCUAAAGCUUUCAAAGGAGUCACUUUACCUUCACCCUCUUGAAUUUGAUGAUUAGCCAAAGAUAGGAAGAAGGAAUGAUUCAGAUUGUGAAUCUAUGAUAUGCUGAAUCCUUUGCUAAGUGUCACCUUUGCUGAACUGUUUCACAGCACACCUGUUAUUUAUCCCCAUCUUAGAGAUGAGCAGCCAGACUGCAAUAUCUGAGCCAACACUAAGGCUGCCCCCUGUGUUUCAUGCCCAGUCUGUGAUACUAUUGUAUUCUGCCCUGAGCAUCCGGGGUCUCUCCAAAUCAAAAAAUUGCUGCUUCUAUUCUGACGUCCCAUGCUUGUGUCUGUGAGGAAGAGUGACUAGACAUCUAAAUAUGUUGGCUGGAAACCAAUAAAUCCCAUUGGUAUUACUGAGACCUAUAACAUACGCAGUGCUGUAGAGACCAAGAGGAUAGAGAUUGCUGUGCACAACCCACCUUGGAAUACACAGAAAAACAUGUCCACUGGCCUUGUCUUCUUUGCAGCUGAGCUUGGGUGAUCACUUGAAGAUACAAACAAAUAUCAAGAAAUAACUCUAAGGACCCAGUGAGCUCAAGGGGCCCCUUGCUACAGCCCCCUGUGCCAGUGGGUCUCCGUGCAACCUUCUUCAGUGGUGGUGGGCAGAUGUGCCGAUGGGAGGCAGGUGUUGCUAGAUCCCCCAACCCAUGGUCCCUUGCUCUGCUUCCUGGACAUCUCCACCUGGGCCUGAAGGAGCACAGCUACAACUGGAAGGGAAAAAUGGGAGCCGGCUGGUGGAAAGCACGUCAGCUCAGCACGCUGAGGCGGCGCACACUUUAUGUAGCAGAACCGCUGAGGUUAUAAUUUAUCUUCCCUUUGGCUUUGAGCCAUCGUUAAGAUUUCCAGGAAGGAAGCUUCAGGGAGGAAGGAAGGGAAGAGGGAGGGAGCUGGACAGUUCCCAUGGCGAGACCUGGGAUGGGGGAGGGCGGGACCUGAAGGCUGGCUGCUGAGAGGGGCAGGGAGGGCCUGAUGCUUUGGGGCCAAAGUGCUAGUUAUGAGAAUUUCCUAAUGACCGUGAGUCCUGGGGGAGGCACGUGAGCUGUGCCUGGCGCCAGCCAAGCCUGCACGGGGCCUCCUAUCCAUAUGUUGAGUGUGUGGGGAGUGAGGGAGGAGGGAGAGAAGAGAGUCCUGCGCUGCUGAAGGUGACUGAUGGCCUUGGGACAGCAAAUCUGGCUCCUGAGGGAUCUGGCUUUACUGGAUCAAGACACAAAGAUUAGUGGCUUUCAGGUGAGGAAGAACCCUCGUUCCUGGCUCCCGGAACAAAGUUUCUUUGUGGUUCGUUGAGAGAUUCAUUUGUGUCCCCCAUGCCCAGAAUUUUGCUCAUGGCAUUUCUGUCUUCUUUCCUUGUGUCCAGAGCCUCCCUGGCCAGGUCUCACAAUCCCAUGGAGUCCUCCCUGAUGGUCUAACAGGAAGCCCCCUCCUCUGGCCUGCUGACUGGCCACAAGCAGAAGUGAGGUUAGCCUGGGGCCCAACAGGGGUAUGUGUUUAGGAUGACUGCGUUUCUCCUCAGAGCCUUGAAGGUACUCAAAGAUCCUGGGGGAACGAGUUUAUAAGACUUGACACAUUGACAGAUUAUACCGAGUGAAAUACAAAAUUGGCAAGAAUGUCUAAAUAAAAGCUGAGACUCUGAAGAAAUUUCAUGAGACUAGAGUGCCACUUUGGGCCACACCCAACUGGCUACAUGCUUGCUCUUCUCCCCACUGGGGACAUUGGGCAGAUGAGUUUGAGCAGUGGGUGAUGUGACAUCAAGUGCCACCUCAUGGGAGGGCCCCUGUUUCCCUGCGGAGGCUGAGCAACGGGGAAUGGAAGCCUUGCUAAUUAGGAGCAAGGGACAUGGUUUUAUUAAGUAUUGAGAAUGGUUUUGUAAAUAUUACUCCAUUUUAUAGCUAAUGAAAUUAAGCUAUGGUGAGGUAAAAUAACUUCCUCAAGUCAGAAAGUAAGAAAGAUGUAAGUCCAGGAUCCAACCUUGGGCCUAGCAGUCUGUUAUGACACCAUGCCACUUGGGGUGUCUUAAGGAAGGGACACCAUCAUGUGUGUCUGCAGCUUACACAGGCCUUCCUGGAAGGUGAUCCUUGUGCCGGCCCCAAAUGUCAGCCUCCACUGGUACAGACACAGACCCCAGCUGUGACAGCUCAGUUCAUUCCAGUGGUUCCUCCCCAUCUCAGGAUUCCUGGGCCAGGUAUAUGGAGACUUUGCCCACUAUACCAAUAUCUGGAAGGCCUCAUAGGGCCCCAGCUUGACUUAUCUAACUAAAGUUAAAGUGGUUGAUUUGAUCCAUCUCUGUACAAUUUGGGGAAUCACCAAGUCAGAUCUAAAUGUCCAUAUGCAAGAGAUGAGGAUUCGAUUAGCGGCUGGCUGGCUGUUAACCUUGCUUUACACAAGGAAAAUUGGGGUGUGAAAUCAAGGCCGAAGCCCCUUCACUGGGCCAGUUUAUCUCUAAGAACUUUCCCAUUCAAUAAGCAUCCUGGUUGAUGUUCUUCAUUAUAGUCACAAUGAUGAACUCACUCUCGUUAUUUUCAAUAAUACACACUACAUCCAUUACAUUUAGUCUUAGAACAUUUUAUGAUAUGUCUAACCCAGAAAAAUGUGUGCCCAGUCGAGGAGGAGUGAGGGAUGGGCUAUCUUUAUUUUCGGCCCCUUUUAGCCUUUCCUUGGCACUUCCUGCAGAGGGUGUGGCUUUUGAAGUCCCUCUUUAUACCGUCUGUUUGGCUUUGCCCCAUCUCCCAAAAGGCCCUUCUAACUUUACACUGCACAAAUGCACGUCUCAGGGACUUGCCAAAUCUUGUCAAGUCCUCAUGUUUUCCUUGGCAGGGACUGUGCCACUCCACUGAAAUGGAUCAGCUGAGUCUGUCGGGCAUUGGUGCCGCUUCUUCAGGCGCUGCAGCUUCUGGGUCCUUUCCCAGGUUCUAAGAGCCCUGAUGUAUCCCAAGUCCUGCCUCUUCCAGGGCCCAUGCCUUCCAGAAGCAUCAGCACACUUCAGCACCACCCAGGCCCAGGGCCUGCAGGAAUGUGGCUAAGGGUGGCUUCACCUGGCGCCCCUUGCCUUCACUCUUCUGUCUCAGCUGCCCCUGCUGGUAGCUCAAGUUAGAAAGGAAAGCUCAUUCACCUAUCCAGGGAAUAUGGAUAGAGGACUUAUACAGCUCUGAGCAUUGCCCAGCACAAAACAGCGACCUUAACAGUGAACAAAAUAGACAAAGAGCCCGGUUCUCAUGAGCUUCCCUUCCAACUCAUCUAAUCAACUUCUCAAAUGAAGUAUUGAACAUGUUCCUCCCUGCCAGGAUGCCUCCUUCUUAAAAAAAAAAAAAAAAAAACUGGAGAAAUACAGUUUAAUCCAAAAGGAAGUACCGGUAAUGGAAUUCCAAGCAUCUGUAGGGGAAAUAUUUGAGACUGAGAGACUCUUUGUUUUGUUGUUGUUGUUUUUUUAGAAUAGGAGGUCACCAAACUAACACCUGUGGGUCAAACCCAGCCCAACACCUGUUUUGUAAUGAUCCACAAGCUAAGAAUGGUGUUUAUGUUUUUUAAAGGUUGAAAAAAAUCAAUGAAAGAAUAUUUUGUAAAAAUCAUACGAGAUAUUCAAUUCAGCGUUCAUAAAGUGUUAUUGGAAUGCAGCCAUGCCCACGUGUUUCCACACUGUCCGAGGCUGCUUUCACACCUCCAGGGCAGAGUUAAACAGUUGUAAUAGAUACUGCAUAUGGCCCCCAAAGCCUAAAACAUUACUCUCUGUUCCUUUACAGAAAGUUUGCUGACCCCAGCUCUAGAAUCAUAUGGCAGAGACAGACAUUAUUUUCCAUGUGCAUAUAAAUGGCCCUGUCUGGCAAGCAGGGGUCCCUCUUUCCCGUUUUGCCUCUGGAAGAGAAUCGUAAAGUGGACCGAAUGUCAGAGACUGAAAACCUGUUCCUGACAUCUGUUUUCUCUUUGGAACACCGAGACAGCUUUCCUGGGGAAGUGUUCGGACAAAUGCAAGAUUCCUUCCCCGUAGGAUCUUCAAUGUCAUUUACCGAAUUAGACGCAAACCUUCAACUUGGGAGGUUCUGGGCUUCCUGGUGGUGGUGGCUGGUAGGGUCAUCCAUGGUCUUGGCUCUGCCAACUUAAACAAUAAUAUUUAUGCCUGUGCAAAAAACAAGGGUUCAAAUCCCCCCUGUGCCACUUAGCAUAUUGUAUGGUAUUGUGCAAGUUAUUAAACCUGAAUGAAAGAAGCCUCAAUUCUCUUAUGUGUGAAAUGGCUGACCUUGCCUACUUUGAAGGCUGUUAAGAGAAACAAAUGCAAUCACACAUGUAAAGGUGUUGGUAACCUGGACAGCAGCUGCAAGUACACUGUCCUUUCUCUUCUCAUGGACAGGCAGCACCGUGAGCUGAAUCUUGUGCUGUGUGUGUUCUUCUUUGUGGAGACCAGGUGGCGAGUCAAGGCGAGAGGGAACCUAUAACAAUAUUCUUCUUGCCUUCACUCAGGGUCUCUGCCUGCCCUGAGCCCCCACUCUCCACCCUCACCCAGGUCCCACGACUCUCUGGAGUCAGCUUCAGGAGUUCUCACCCACAUGGGGGAACAGGCCUCUCACAAGCAAGAACAUGCUGAAGUCCUUCCUCCAGAGUUGUCUUUGGAGGAUGCCAUUGCUGCCCCAGGUAGGCACCCCCAAGCCCUUGAUGAUGCAGGAUGCGGCUACUAGCACAGCUUUCUCUGAUUAUUUGCUUAUUUUCUCCCCAAUCUGUAACCCUCUCAAAGUGCAGGAAGUCUAUAUCCCACUGUGUGCCCCUGAUUAUCCUAAACGUCAUAACCAUGUUCCUUAGGAUUGGGGAAAGGAGCAGUUUUUAAGGGUUAAAAUCUUCCCCCCUUAGGUACAGGGAACAAAACAGAUCAAAUUAUGCUAUGUGCAUAUGUGAACAUAGCACAAAGCAUCCUACUAUUUUGUAUGAUUAUAAUGUACCAAUAAAAUUAAUUUAACAAGUCUUCCUCCUUCACUGGACUCUGAGCAUCUUAGGGGCAGA
rnacentral:lncRNA from 1 species